AAUCCCUUCAUACGUACUAAAACGUGGUUGGUCAGAUUAUAUAUGCACAAAAUGCGAAGCCCAUAGUUCAAUUCCACUUAAAUAUCAUAAUAAAUCGUGUCUAAUUGAGAUUUAAGUAGUGGUGGAUAAUUAUUUUAGUCAUAAUGGGAAAUAGAAGGAAAGGUGCAUUUCUCUCUGAAUAGAGUCAAUACUGUUUAGGUACUAACAAAAAAAUUAUAGUCACAAAGUGUGGUCUUCACCAUUCAAUCCAACAAGAUGAGUUUUUUACAGAUGAUGUUAUGCCCCAACCAAACUAUAUAUUUGAAUCACAUCUUUACAAGGCUUCUGUUUCCUAUAAUUUUGCAUCUCCCAUCUCAUUCAGUUCUCUGCAUUUUCCUCUCAAGUGUGUUAAUGAGGACUAAGGUUAUUGCCAUCCCUGAUGCUUAAUCAAUUCAGAGGCAAGCCUCAUAGCCAGCUUGGAUUUCAGGCAGCAUUAGUGCGUUGGCUCCCCUCACAAUUUGUCCCAUUGAAUCCCUGCCCAUCACAGCAAGCCCCGCAGGCCGCAACCUUGUUCUUAUUGCACAACGCUACAUCUGUCUUAACUUUGUUGGUUUUCAUUGGAGAUGAAAUGUGUUUGCUCCUCAACUGAACCAAGUCAUUAUGCUUCCUAGUCUACAAGCCUCUUCCUAUAUUUUAACUGCUUGUUGCUCAAUUUUCUGAUGAAUCAACCCCCAUAAAAAACGGUUCAUUAAGUGGUCUAACCAAUACACAUAAAACACGUUAAUUAUGCGCAGCAUGAUCGAACUUCAAGAAAAUACAAGAGAAAACUCAAGAAAGGAAACUAUUCAUUUCAUUCAAAAGACUCUAAAAUCUCGUGAUCAGAGACUAGUCAUAUUUAUACAAAAAAGCUGUAUAGUGAACUAACAUUUUAACCGAUUAGCUAACUAACUAAUUAAUGAUAGGCUAAGCUGCUAACAAUUUGUACCAGAAACUAACAACUUAACUGAAACUGGCUAUCAGUUACAUUCACUAACACAGGACAUGCAUGAAUUUGAUCAAAAGGAGCUUUAUUACUUGAUUGAGCAAUUCGACAAUACGAGGAAUGACUGCAGAAUGUGUAACAAGGGAAGCACCCAAAGGCUGACUUACAUGCAACAUUUGUUAACAUAAGAUGCUAACCAUGCAUUGCACGACGCGAGGCUGCUACAAGCCCACAUUACGGCCCAUUUAAAUUUGUGUAUAUAUAAAUAAUUUUGAUUACGCUUACGCCCUAUUCAAGUUGGGGAUUAGGAUACCCCAGCUUUGAUAUCGAACUCACUUCACAAGAUCAAGUCAAAUUUAAGUUUUUUUGAACCAAGCUAGAAUAACUUAUGAGUAGGGAUAUGUGAUAAGGUACCUAGACCUAGUUGGACAAAUAUUCCACAAGAGGAAAGGAAAAAGCAGAAUUUACAGAGAGCUCUAUACUUUACUCCCCCUCCCCCCCCUUCUUUUGAUGGUAAAAAUGGGGAAGAAAGUGCAGAGAAGGAAUCUUCAAAUAUGGCCCAGAUAUUUGGGCAGAACCGAAGCCGGGACUUUAUGGGUUAGGGGGUCUAAGGUUUCAUGUACCUUUUUGAAUCUGGUGUGAGGUAAUUCCACCUUCUGCUUUCAUGCAAGUAUUAUAAUAUAAUUAGCCAAUCACUUUGAUAAAACAAGUGUCUUAAACAACCUCAAAUGAUUUAUUAUUAAAUAAAUAAAAAAGUGUGAGACAAAAUUCCUAAGGAGACAGCAUUUUCUGGGAAAACCUUGGGAACCAAGUUAAGGACAUGCAUUAAAUGAGAUAUUUCCAUGAGAAAAAGCCCUACAAGACACUUCCACACUUCAUCUUUUAAAGGCUUUUUUCAUAAUUUAGAAGCAAAGAAUAUUUCAACCAAAAAAUUCUCUCUCAACUAUGUAAAUUGUCCCUACUAUUUAUAUUAACAUAGUUAGUAUUGUAUUUUUUUUAUACUAGCAUGUACUAAUAUCAGUAUAUUUAGGUGUAUAUUUUUAGAUUUUUAUUAUUAUUUUUAAUAUACAUACAAAUAUAUCUAAAAAAUAUACAUAUAAAUAUAUUUAUAUGCGAAUUGAAAUUUUAAAAUUAUUAAUUAAUAUCAAUAACUUAAUUAAAUAAUUUAAAUUUAUUUUAAAUAAAUUAUAACAAAUAAAAAUAGUUAAGAUGAAAAUAUUAAUAUCUUGUACAAACCACUACAUAUCGAUACUAAUUAGUAUAUCCUAAAAUUGAUUGAAAUAAACUAAAACACAACAAAAUGCUCGAAACGUGUGAGAAUUUUGACUAAAACAAAAGGUAAACCAUUUGCUAUUGGUUUAAAAUUAAAACAAUAUUACUAUUAUAAUUGAUAUUGUGUUAGAUUAAAUUUAGUAUGCCACUUAUGAGUUUAUAAAAUUACAAAUAAAAUAUAUUAAUGAUAUCAAAAUUAAAAUAAGAGUAUCUAUGUCCUUUAAAUUUAUAUAUACAUAGGGGGGAAAUACUGUCAAAAGAUUACACCCAUAAAUAUUUAAUUUUUUGCUUUAUAACUUUCUUUUUCCAUAAAAUAAGUCCCUAAAUUAGAUAUUACGUUACACGAUUCUAUAUUUUUUAUUAUUUUGGAAAAGUUAAAAGUAUUUAUUGUUAAUUCUUUUAUAAAGCAAAAAAGCCAUGCUUGUUUAUAGAUGCGUGUGGUCAGGUUUUGGUGUCUGGUGUUUUCUAAGGGUUUUGAGAUAAGAUGAGAUCUCUUUCUUAUAUUUUAGACUACCAUUUUCUUUGCUUUGAGUACUACUAAGGUUUUAGUUUUAUAAUUUCUAUGCUUUUAAUGCAAAGACUGUUCUAGUAUUUUUAUUUUUAUUUUUUUAUAUUUAUUUUACAAUUAAUGCAUAACAUCAAUUUAAUUCAUCAUACUAAAUUCGUAAUGUAUAACAUAAAAAAAAUCUCUAUAAAUAUAAAAUCUUAAUUAGAUUAUGUUUUAAAUUUCAUCUCAACCUUUUUACUUUUUUUUCAUUUAUAUAAAAAAUUCAAAUCAAAUUUUAAUAAUAAUAAUGUAUUUUUCAAAGUUGGAUUUAUCUUUUAUUAUAUAAAACAUAUUAAAAUAUAAAAAAAUUAAUAUCCAAUCAAUCAAUUUAUCUUAUUUUUGGUUAAGUUAGGCUUGAGAGUAGAGGUGCUCAUGGCUUAAGUCGGGUUAGGUUUAAGUAUGAUACUAACAUACUUUAUGCUUGCCCAAGCCUAGCCCAACCUGAAAUUUGGGUAUAAAAUUUUACCAAAAUCCGUCUAUAUUUGUAAAAGACUAACCCAAGCCCAUUUUAGGCCCGCCCAUAUUAUUUUUAAAUUUUUUUAAAAAUAUUUAUUUUAUUUUAAUAUUUAAUAAUUUUAUAUAUUUUUCAUUUAUUGAAAUUUUUUAUAUAGACAUGUUAACAUUAUUUUAAUGUUUGCAUUAGAGUAUUAUUAUAUAUUUAGUAUAAGUUUAUUUUUUUAAUGUGUUCUAAAUUACAUAAUAUAUAAAAAUAAUAUAAUAUAAAGUAUUAUAAAUUUAAAAUGGGUUAAACUGGACUUAGGCCUUAAAUAUUUAAAUCUGAACUUAACUCAUAUUUUAAACGAGCCUAACUUUUUUUAAGUAAAUUCUGUAAAAUUUUAAACGAAUAAUCAACCAAUAAAGAACUUGAGAGGAAUCCAAUCUUUCCUCAUUUAACCUGUCAAUUAAUUAACUAAAGAAUUCAUCUCACCACCCUAAACCACGUAUUUAUUUAUAUAUUUGAUUAUUUAUUGAAUGACUUGGAUAUAACCUCAAAUGUAUAAAAAAGAAAGGUAAUAAUUUGUUGACAUAUUUGCCCUCUCAAUUGCAAUUGAUGUUUGGAAUUGAUAGGGAGGUAAAAUUGGUAUUGUGUAGGUCAGAUCGGUCAUUUUAAAGGAAGAAGACCACUUUAAGCCAAGUAGGAAACCAAUGAAAGCAACACAUUAUUUUGUUUUUCCUGAACCAAAGACUUCACUUUGCUUUUGAGUAUUUGUUGGCAAAGCUCUUUUGAAAGCACCACCAAACAACAAGAAAACAUGCAAAAGCAAGCUUUGGUUAUAUUGUUUUACAACCUCUCAAGCUCAUCUUUGCUUCUCCUUCUCUUUCUAUACUACUCAUCAAUUUUGCUUGCCAAGUUCUUCUACUUCAUUGGAAGUUACUCGCUUCUCCAAAGGUCCUUGUAAUUUCAUUGUUUUGUUGGUGAAGAAAUUCAUUCAUUCAUUCAUUCAUUGUGUUGUGUGUUCUUUGUUUCUUUUGCAGGAAUCGAAAUGGAUAUGAUUACAGUAUGUUCUCUGAAGAAGAAGAAGAAGAAGAAGAAGAAGAAGAAGAAGAAGAAGAAGAAGAUUAUUGUGUUGAAAGGUAUAACUACAAGGCCAACUGCAUGGAAAAUGACCACCUUGUGGCUGACAUAAUUCAUGGUGGUGAAUCACUUAUUUUCCUGCCGGACAGCAGCUUUCAAAGACCUCGAAAUGAUGUCCAUGAUGAUCAGCUCAUCACGAGUGAGGAUCAAGAAUAUGCAAGUUGUUACACUGAACAGUCACCUAGUUCAGAUUCUGAACACCAUCAUGAUGAUGAUGAUACAGAUUUGUUUGAUCAUGAAGAGAUCCCAACAAAAGAUGGCGAUUCACUUGACAAUUUUGAUGAUGGUCCCACUCCUAUAGUCUCACCAAUGGACAAAAGUGAUGUGGACAAUGAUGAAGAUGGUGAUGGUAUGUACAUUAAACCAUUGAUUAUUAUCACAUGAUGUACGUCAUAUGUUUCUGCUGAACAUUACAUCCUUGUACUUUGUCUUUUCAUGCUGCCUGAUAUUGUUUUCUGCUUGUUUCUGCAGAAAAUUUCAGUAAUCAAAAAAUCAAACAAAGGGUGCAAACAGAUUUUUCAAGUGACAAGUUUUUUGUUAUAGGACCAACAGUGGAGUCUAAGAAGUUAGUAGGUGAGGAGCAGGAUAAUAAUGAACCAAUCUAUGGUGACUCUUACACAAUAGGCUCAACAUCAAAGAGCUCAUCUGAGUGGAGAAGCUCAAUAAAUUGCAGAGAUUCAGGGACUGAAGAUCCAUUUUCAUCUUCCUCAAGAAGAAGUUGUCCCAAAUGGGAAUCCUACACUGUGUUCCAAAAAUAUGAUGAAGAGAUGAUGUUCCUUGACAGAAUCAGUGCACAAAAGCUCCAAGAAACAGGUAAAAUUAUGAGAAACUUGAUAUAUAUAUAUAUAUGAAGAAUGCAGAUUUGGUUGAUGGGUUUGAAAUUGUUUAUAGAAUCACUGAGGUCCAUCCAAGCUUGCCCAAGAUCAAUAUCUGAGAGAAUAGUCCACAAGUUUGCGACAAUGAACAGAAAACCAUCAGAUAUCAGACAGAAUCCAUAUCAUGAACUGGAAUCUGCAUACGUUGCUCAAAUUUGCUUGACUUGGGAAGCUCUUAACUGGAACUAUAAGAACUUUGAACAUAAAAGAGCCUCUAGAAAAGAUUUCGACUGUCCUGCCAUCAUUGCUCAACAGUUUCAACAAUUCCAAGUUCUUUUACAAAGAUACAUCGAAAAUGAGCCUUAUGAACAAGGGCGUAGACCCGAGGUGUAUGCCAGGAUGAGGCUUUUGGCCCCAAAGUUGCUUCUGGUUCCUGAAUAUCGAGGUAAAUCAUUAUUUUUAAAACUUAUUUCAUUUAUAAUAUACCUUUAAUUAACAUUCUGUUUAUUUCCAUAAUUUUGAUAUGAAAAAAGAUUAUGAGGAAGAUGAAAGAGAUGAAGGGUUUGGGCCAAGAAUAUCAGCAGAAACAUUUGUGGUGAUAAUGGAGGAUGGAAUCCAAACCUUCAUGAAUUUUCUCAAGGCAGACAAGGAGAAACCAUGUCAACUCAUUAAAAAAUUCUUUGGGAUGAAGAGAAGAGGCUCAGUUGACCCUACACUCCUUCAGCUUAUGAAAAAAGUUAAUGCUAAAGUAAGUUCUCUAAUUUUAAUAAGUUUACAAAACCAUCAUGUCAUCAUCUCUCUCUCUCUCUCUCUCUCUCUCUCUCUCUCUCUCUCCAUAUAAAACGACUUGAGUAUUAAUAAGAUUACUCGCUGGAUUGAAUGCAGAAAAGGAUGAAGCUUAAAGACCUUAAAAGGGCUAAGAAAUGCAUAAGGAGAAGGAAAGUGAAGGUGGAGAAAGAGAUGGACAUAUUGAUGGGUCUGAUUGACCUAAAAGUGGUGUCAAGGGUUUUGAGAAUGACUGAUCUAACUGAACAACAAUUGCAUUGGUGUGAGGAGAAGAUGAGCAAAGUCAGGAUUUCAGAAGGCCAACUCCAUAGAGAUUCCUCUACCCUUUUUUUCCCAGCUCACUAAUUGACCCACCACCUUUUUCUAAAUAUUACAUCAUACAUUACAAAACCAUAUCUAAAUGUGCAUCACUGCACCAUAUGGAUAAUCCUAGGCUAGCUUUUGUAUAUAGCUAUACCUAUAUUAUACCGGAUGUAGUGACAUAGAAUUUGUUAGAAAAUUAAGAUAUAGGCUCUAUACAUAAAACAUGAUAAUAAGAAAUUUUUAUGAUAUAUAAUAAAACUGUAAAAUUUUAAAUAUCACACUUCCAACAAUAUUUCGAUUUAGAUAUUUUAACUACAAUAAUAAAUUCGAUAUAUUCAAAUAUCUCAGAAUAUGGCAUACUACUGUGAAGAAUAGGUUUGGAUUUGAAUAUUUAAACCUAUUAUUCACUUUAAAUUUUUUCACUAACGAAUAUUGCAUCAUUGUUCAAAUCGGAACAAAACAAAGUCCAACAACAUGUGAGGGUGACAUGGAAUUUGGAGAUUUUGGGAAUCCAUAGAAAUAUUGAAGAAAAGCAGGUAAGCCAAGUGAUUUUAUUUUUUUUAUUCAUCAACUGAAAGUGAAAGAGCAGACAUAAAGCAAGGAACAUUGAAGAGUAGAUACUACAGUGGGAGUAGCUUUAUUAGUUUACUUUAACUUUAUUUCAUUAGGGGGGUUUUCAACAAGGAUACGAGGGCUCUACGUUAUCAAAAGAAGAGAAGGAUAAGAAGUAACUCACACAUGCAUACCAACACAGUAAAAAUGAAUUUGCACAUGCUACCACUCUAAAGCAAAAUCAUUAUAAAAUUAUGUAAAAGAAAUUGGUUUUUUUUAAAGAUAAUUAUGAACAAAAUUCAUUAGUAUACAUUAUAAAAAAAAUUAAUGUACUUUCAACAUCAAACAGUUUCAUUCUCGACAAAGUAUGAGAAUUUCACUCACCACACUCCUCCCAUCAAUUAGCAAUAUAUACCAUUUAAAUACUCAAUUUAAAUAUCAAUGACAAUCUUUUCGUAUUUAUCUUUUUAAUUUUAAAAUUUUAAAAUGAAUGUUUAGUGUUCUAAGUCAUUUAUCAUUUGAAUCAAUGUAAUUUCUGCUUUAUUAAUGAUUCUCUAUAAGAUAAAAGUCUUUUAUAGCAUAUUUACAAGACCUGAUUGCACAAGUCAAAACAUAACCUCAAAAUAAUUUAAGGUGGGUUGGAUGCGGUGCGGUGUGUUUAGCUUAUUUUUUAUCUUACACUACAGUAUUUAAUAUUACUGCUACCGCUGUUUUUACACUAAUCGUAAGUAAACAUACCUUUCAUCCAAACCCACUCUUAAUAUCAUAAUAUACUUUUUAAUAUAAAUCUCAUUAUUUAAAUUAGUAUAUAGAUAAGCCAACAACUGUUUGAUCUAAUAGUAAGAUGUUUGUGUUGCGUAAUGGGACGCAUUCUCUUGUAUAUCAUCUUGUUUACUCAAAUUGGACCCAAGUGUUAGCCUAUCUGUUAGUUUAGGGCCAAUCUGGACAAGUUGGGUCUUAUCUAGGAUGGCCCCGUCCACUAGCAUUGCUGCUUAAUAACAAAAAUAUAUUGUUUUAUUUAAAUUUAGUUAUAAGAAAUAUUAAAUUAAUAUCAAUAUAUAAAUGUUUUAUUAUUUUUCAAUCACGAAAUGGGGGUUGGUGGCCCAUCUCAAUUAAGGACAUGGACUACAUCCGAUGGAAUUUAUCUAAGAAAAUUAAUGUUUUUAAAAUCGAAUGAUAGAUAAAUCAAUUAAAUUAUUAAAAAUAAAAUAAAUAAUUUAUUUUUUUAAUUAAUGUUAAGUGAUUUACAAAUUAAUCACCGAUUAAUAAAUAAAGCUUCCUCUCAUAAAAAAAUAAUGAAUAAAUUUAUAAAUUUGCCCCGAGAUGCCUUAACACAAGAUAACAGAGGUAUCUUGUAUGCUUACCUCCCUAGAUUUCCAUCAUGCUAGCUUUUACAAACUCUUUCUUGUUACUUAGAAAACUCAUUUGAAAACCCAAUAUCUCCGUGGCUGUUGCACUCUUUUGAUCCCAAUUCCCAACUUCACCAUCGUUUUUUUUUUUGCAAUUCUUACUUGAUAUAUAAUUGACUAUUAAACAUUUAACAAUAUUGAGCUAACAAAUUUUUAAUAUGUUAAAUGUUUAAAUCAGGAUCUUACCUUUUAGAAGUCAAAUAUUUUAGAAUAGUUAUACAAUAAAUUAAUCUUUACAAAAAUAUUUAAAUACGAGUUUUUCAUAUAUAUUUAUAAUAAAACAUAUAACAACUUAAUCAUAUGUUGCUCGAAAAGAAAAGGAAAUAAUAAAAUCACAAUAAAACCCGAAAUACAAUAUUUAAGAAGUUGUUAUUUGAAUACAUUAAAAAAAUAAAAAAUAAAAACAAUUUUCUCCUUCAUUUGUUAAGCUUUAUAUUAGCAAUGGGCUUCUUUAUCAUCAAGUGAUUCCACGUUGAAUUUUCGCACAACAAACAAAUUCUAAGAGAACAACUCAAAAGCAAUAAUUUAUUAAAUUUAAAGGGCAGAAGCAAGUGGAUGGCAAGUGAGACAUCCAUGUCUGUUCUUAGAAUAAAUAAUAUAUGGAGAAAUGAGAAUGAUAAUGUGCUGCCUUUUUGUUGACCAUCCAAUAUCGAUGCAAUCAUUUAUGCCUUUAUACAUUCAACAGCCAUUUAAUUUCAAUUUCGAGAUUUUCAUAUAUUUCUUGCACUUUAUAUUUAAAAUAUUAUAUAUUUAUUUAAAUUUUAACAAAUUUAUUAUUAUGUGUGAGUCUUAUUGGUUUAUUCUAUAAUUUUUUGUCAUACCAUUUUAACUCUUUAAUUCUUUUAAUAAAUAUUAUUUUUAUCAUAUAACUGCAUUGUAUUUAAAAUAACUUAAAUAAAAAGGUGUUACGGUUAGUUAUGAUAAAAGGAGUGUUUUAUUGAAAUCUUUACAUGUUUUGUUUUUAUUUAGUUUCCAUUAAAAUGAAAAAUGUUGGGAAAAGGUGUUUGGUUUAAAAUUUUAAAAAUAAUUUUUUGAAAAUGGAAAUGUGAAAAUUAGAAAUAAUAAAUAAAAAGCUUGUUUUUAUUGAAAAUGUUUUUGUAAAAGGUGAAAGUGAUAAAAACAAAGGUUUUAAACUUUAAAUAUAUUGGUUAUGGUUAAAACUGGUAUAAACACAAAAAUUAUUCUUUUAUUUUUCAACAUUAGAUUUGAUACUCUUAAUUUGAAUUCAUAUCCAUAUGAAUGUAUUAAAAAAAUUAUUAUUUUUUUGCACAUAUAAUUUCAUGGUGUUUGUUCUUCCCAAAAUUUUAAUAUUUUUAAUAACUUAAUUAAAAAUACAUUACAUGAUAGAAAAUAAUAAAUAUGUUAUAAUAUGCACGCAUAUAUAUAAGAGUGCAUAUUUGCAUUUGGCACAUUAAUAGUGUGUUUUUUCUCAUUCUACAAGUAGUUUUAAAAGAUUGAUACGUGUCUCUCUCUUUUUUAAAUAACUAUUUCUAAAAUAUUUUACUAUACUCUUAUAGUACACUUGUCAACCUUUUACGUGUAAAGUCUAAAAAAUUCACUAAUAUUGUAUCAAAUAUUUUCCCCAUAUAUAAUUAAUGAUCUAAAAUCCUAAUAUAUAUAUAUAUAUAUAUGAGAUAGAGUUAAGCUUUGAAAUAGAUAGUUUUUAAUUUUUUUAAAAUAGUCAAAAAUAAUUUUAUCCUUAAUUUUAGAAAUAAAGUAUUAAAUAUAUUUUAAUUUUUAAUUUUAGAAAUAAUAUAUGUCUAAUACUUUUUAAAUUGAGAAAUAAAGUUUUAAAUGCUUUUUUCUCAUUUUUAAAAUUUUUAAUUUAAAAAAUAAAGUUCUAAAUAAUUUUAGAUAUAAUAUAUAUCUAAUAAUUUUUUAAAUUACAGAAAUAAAUUUUUAAUUCUUUUUAUUUGUAAAUUUUAGAAAUAAUUUAUAUCUAAUACUUUUUUAAUUUCAGAAAUAAAUUCUUUAAUAAUUUAUUUUAAUACUUAAAUAAUGUAAAAGCAAAAAUUUGACUCAGUGAAAAAUAAAAAAUAAUUUGCUAUUCUUUUUGUAACAUGGAUAUAGAUAGAAGUGAAAUAUUAAAAUUUUAUUAAAUAAGAUAAGUUAAAUCACAUAACAGUUUGUUAAAGUUUUAAAAAAAUUAAUUUUGAAAUAAAAACAAUUUGACAAUCAUUAAAUUUAUUUCAUAUUAAACACAAUUUAAUACGAUCAAUAAAUGAGAUAUAUGAACUUAUAUUUUAAAUAUAGAGGAAGUAACCGUUUAACAGAUAAAUUAUUUUAUGGACCCUUUUACCGCCUCAUAUAUGGUCCUACCAAAAUAUUUUAUGUCAAAUCAAUAACUUUUUCGUACUCAAAUUAGAAUUAGAAUGAUUAAAACAAUUUCCACAUCAUAUUUGAUUUUGUUCAAUUUAUUUUUCUUUUCAUCUGAGUGACUUUUUUUCCUCCCCUCAAAAUAAGACACUAUUAGCAUAAGAGGAUUUAGGGUUUUAAUGAUUUUCUUAAUUUUUUUUCCUUUUUGAAUCACCUCUUGGUUGUUAUAAAAAAAGAUUUGGGGUUUUAGACAAUUCAAAGUAAAUAAUGGAAUGAUUAAAAUUGUUAUGAACUAAAUUCAAUAAUUAUUUCACUAGAAAUAGGAACGAACCUGAUUCUCUAACCCCUUUAUUUUUUUGCUCAGCCUGUAGUCUUAAAUUAGAAAAAUUACCAAAACCCUAAAUCCUCUUCUUCUAACAGUGAGGAGGAGGGAAAAAAAUCAUGUCAAAUGAAAAGAAAAAGAAAUUGAACAAAAUUAUAUAUGACAGUGAAAAUUAUUUUAAUCUUUUUAAUUUGAGUUGAAAAAAUUUGUUGACAUGGCAUAAAAUAAUUAACUAGAACCAUAUAUUAGGUGGUGAGAAAGGUUCAUGGAAUAAUUUAUCCGUUUAAUAACACUAUAAUUAUGAAAUAAAUAUUAAGAUAACUAAUAUUCAACUUUAUUAGAUAACUUUUAUCUAACUAUUAAGAUAAAUAUUAUCUAACUUUGUUUUAAUUAAAUAUUAUUUAUCUUUAUGAUAAAUAUUAUAUUAUGUUUUAUUUUUUAAUUUUAAACUUUGAACCAUAUUUUUUAAGGGUAAAUAAAAACAUGCUAUUUAAAUUAAUUUUUUUAUGAAACUGAAUUUUAAAAUUAAUAAUUGAAAAAGUAGAAUAGUUAAAAUUAACAUUAAAAUUUAAAUUUAAAAUAGAAUAGGAAUUCACUUAAUAAGAAAAUAUGAAAUAAAUAACUCAGAAUUAAACAAAAUAAUAACAUAAAAUAUCAAUAUAGAGUUAAUAAUAAAGCAAAAACUAAAUUAACAAAAAUUAUUAUUAAUUUCAGAACGUAUAUUUUAUUAUUUAUUGUUUAAAUAAAAAUAUAUGUGGCAAAUUAAAAGCAUGAUGUAGCUUGUGUAGGAUAAGGGCUAGGAAUCAAAUUGAUAAUGGGGGGUGCCCUUUUUUCUUUUGCUUCAAAAUGUGCUGCCUUUUUGUUCCAUCAUAUAGUGCUGCAAUCAUUUCUCCCUCCUUUAUUCAACACUCACUUCAUCCUUUUUUUUUUUUGAUCUAAAAAAUAUAUAUAUUAAUAUUUAUUUAAUAAUUAAUUUUUUUACUAUUUUUAAAAAUUUAUGUUAAUUUAACACACAUAAUUUAUAUAAAUAAAAUAAAAAAUAUGUUAAAUAUUAAUAAAGCAAGAAAUAUAUAAAACUAUAUAUGUGUGCAAUCCUCCUCAUAUUGUAUUUAAUAUUUAACGCAUUAUAUUUACAUAUAAAUUUAAAUGAUUAUUUUGAGAUCGAAUUUCAUUUAUUAGUAUCAAUUGAAGAUCAGUCCACAUCAAUUUAAGUUUAUCAAUAAUACAUUUUAAUGUUUUUAUAUAUAUCUUUGCAUUUUCAUGUUAUAAUAUAUUAUUGAGUGAACUAUGCUAUGCUAGAUGUCAUUCAACUUUGAUUAAUUUUUAAUUUUUGUUAUUCAACUUUUAAAUUUUAUCAUUAUUAUAAAAAUAUCAUUUAACUAUUUAAUGUCAUUAUUUGAUAAAAUAUGUUUGAUGUAACAUGUUAAACGUGUCCCGUGUUUAAAAAAAUUGUUUUUUUCAUAUUAACAUAUAUUUCUUUUCUCUCUUUUUUCCUUAUUCGGUUUUUUUUUCUUUUUUUUUUUCUUCUUCUUUUCUUUUCCCAACAAACCCUAUAAGCCAUUGAUUGAAUUUAGCACCGCCGAUGGCUUCCCCGGACACUAAACUCAUUGGUGGAUCUCUCAAGGCUAUCCUUUUAUUCCGAUAAGCUCAACCUUAACCGUUAAUUCUCCCCUCCCAAAUUUUAGAAAAAUAUGAAUUUUCUAUUGAAAUUUUUAGAAAAUUUUAAUUAACCCCCUCAAAUUUUUUGAAAAUUCUCAUUAUGCCUUUUAAUUUUUUAAAAAUUUAAUUAAGCUCACAUAAAAUAUUGGAAAAUUCUCAUUGAUCUCAGAAAAAAAUUUAAAAAUUUAAUUAGACCCUCAAUUAUUUUAAAAAAUUCUCAUUGAACUCUAAAAUUUUUGAAAUUUUUACUAAUCUUUAAAACUUAAUCCCAGAACCUACCACUAUAAUAAACCAAGGUGAUAUUAAUAGAUUAUUUUAGAAUAUGAAAAUUAAAAAAAAAAAACAUAGUGACCUCUCUAGUAAUCCAUAUAACAUUUUGAUCCUUCUAGUGAAACAAAGAGAGGGUAAAUUGGUUCUAUGGAACAAAAUAGUCCUUCAUUAAAAAUUUUAUAGCUUUUUAUUGUUAAAUAUUAAUGUGACAUUUUUAUAUAAAUAUUUGGUACAAAUAACUUGAAAAUAAAUCAUGAUUAAGAUAAAGAUGAUUUUAUAUAAUUAUUUAAUUUAUUAUACUGUCGUCAUAACAUGUCUCGCUAGGCUAUAAAAACACAAUGAAACUUAAUCUUAUGACUUCACCGCAUCUCUAAACUACCAUGUUCAAUGGCGGUGAACUCAUUUACCAAAUUUAUCUUCAUCAUUUUAAACCCAUAUCCUUCUUACAAUUGAAGAACUUGGUAACCCAUGUUUCCGAUUAUUUAAGUAAACUUGGCAUCAUCAUUUUCGUCCCGAAUUUUCUGUUUGGUUUAAAACAACAUGGAUUUUCUUUUUUGCAAUUAAAACCAUGUUCUUUAAAAGCAUUGAAGACAUGGGUGAUCUUACCAAGUUCUUCGACUGAAUUCAGCUGGGAGGAGGAGGAAAUGAUGUUCGAGUGAGAGAAGAAAAUGGGUUUUGAAUUUAAGGAAUAAAUGGGUAAUAAUUUAAUAAAUUAUAUAAGAUUAUUUUUAUCCUAUCAUCACCUUUUUCCAGAUAAUUUUCAUCAAAUAUAUAUAUAUGAGAUUUUAAAAUUUAAAAUUUAGAUACACAACAUCUAAAGCAUCCAAUAGGAAAAUAUAAUGUGAAGUAGGGGUGAGUAUUCGAUCGAAUAAAGUAAAAAAAUUUUGAGUUAGUCGAGUUGACGAAUCCUAUUUUAGUAACCAAACUUAAUUUGAAUUUUUUUCGAAUCGAAUCGAAUCGAGUCGAGUUAACAAAUCCUAUUAUUUAUACUCAAUGUUACGUUUACAUUGACCGAUUAUUUAACUAGUAGACAAAGUACAAGAUUAUUUAACUACAUAAACAAUAUAAUAAUUUUGUCUUUUAAUUUAAUGAGUAAAUAUUUAUCAAGACGAUGUAAUUUUACCUUUUAACUUAAUGAUUUUAACUUUUAACUUUUAAAAAAAGUAAACAUUUAUUAAAACAAUGUAGUUUUACCUUUUCUUAUUCGGAUUUUCGAAUAACUUAAAUUGUGUAAUUUAUAUUCGAGUUAAAUAAAAAAAUUUAAUUUUUUAUUCGAAUUAAUUCAAAUAACUUAAUUAACUCAAAUAACUUAAACUAUUUAAUUUAAAUUUAAAAUUUUUUAUUUUUUUUUGAAUUAAAUCAAAAUUUGCUCAGUCAAUAUGGUUUAGGGAAAGUUAUGGUAACUACCCAUUGGAUCAGCAUUGCAAGUGCGUCUCGCAAUUUGAAGCAAUGUUUUGUCUUUUUUCCACCUUCGGAUGCGGAAAUCUGUGGCCCAUUGAACGCAGAACGCUGCCACUCUCUUCUCAUCGUUUUAAAGAUUUUUCAUAUAAUAUUACAAAAAUAAAAAUUUAUCAUAAGUUACGUAGUGUUUGAAAAUUUAGAAUUUAUUUCUCAUUUUUAAGAAUUCAAAUGGAAAAAAAAAUCAAUAACUCUAUUAUACUAGUUUCUAAUAAUAUUUUGUAUGUAAUAUUUUUAAAUUAUUUUCACUAUUCUAAAUAUAAAAUAUUUUCUAUAUAUAGAAAAAUCAAAUUAAUUAGAAAUUAGAAAGAUAAAAAAUAAUUUUAAAUUAAAUAAAAAUAAAUUUUAAUUCAAAUAAUCGUAAUUUUGUAACUUAUAUUUCAAAAACCAUCCGAACUUAUAAUUAAUUUUUAUUUUUAUUUUAUAAUUUAAAAACAUUAUAGUUUUGUAAAUUUUAAAAGGGAUAAAUAUUAAAUUUAUAAAUAAAUUUUGGUUCAAUGUGCAAUUUGAUACAUAAACUUUGAUUCGGUACAAUUAUGCACAUGAAACUUGAAUUGUGGUUCACAUGUAUGUGUGAAACUCUAAAUUAUAUACAUUUAAAGAAAUGAAUAUAUACAUUUAUUUUCAUAUUAGAUUAAUAUAAUUGUUGGUGUAUGCAAUAUAUGAAUGUAAAAUGAAGUUAAUUCAACAAUGUUGUUAGUGAAAAUUUGAAUCAAAUUAAAAUUUCGUGUAUAAAAGCACAUAAAAUCAAAAUUUAACAUUACAUAUUGAAUCAAAAAUUAUUAACAAUUUUAAUAUUUAUCAAUUUUAAAAUUAUUUGAUUCUAUAUAAAUCCAUUCAAAUUCAAAUUAAUUCAAAUUCGAAAUAAAUUAAAUUGUGGUACAUGUUCGUGAUUUUAACCCACAACUUCAAUUUUUUUUUUUUUAAAGUUCGAACAUUUUUUAAAGUUGGUUAUAUAUUAUUUAUAAAAAUAAUAAAAAAAAUGUGGACAAAAGUCGAGUAGGAAGCUAAAGUUUUUUAAUUAUGGUUUUCACAAAGCAAACUCUUUUAAUAAUGGAAUAAUCUUAAUCAAUUAAUAAGUAUUUUAAAUCCAUUCGUUGCCUAUCGUAUUUUAUUAUAAGAAAUAACGAAACACAGUCUUCUUAGUUCAUCCUUCUUCAAAGAUGAGGCUAUUGGGCAACCGGCGUUAACUUUAAUUGUCUACUUUAUGUGUUUGAAGUAAGCAAAAUUGCUUCAUUGUCUGUUAUUGUCUUGGUCAAUUUUAUACCUUUGGGUAGAGAAACAAAUUACAAUAAUUAAUUAAAUUACUUCAAAUUUAUAGUUUUGUUCUAAGAAUUAAAUUAUAUGCCGCGAUUUACACAAUGAGAAGUGUGAAGUGUGAAGAGAUACUAAGGUGGAAGUGAUACACGCAGAGAAUGGUACGAAAAGCCACUAAAAAUAAUAGUUUAGAGGUGUUAAGGUAAUAUCUAAAAAGAGUGUUAACUAUAUGUCUGGUCAUUGGUUUUUUUCAAUCUCUCUUUGCCUAGGUGUUAAUGGGGUAAUUAUCGAAUAAGGUUAGUUUAGCGUGGCUGCCUGGGUUCCUAUCAUCAAGCAUUCUAUCCAUAAGUAUAGAGGGUAGAGUUACGGAUGUUAGCUUAGAAUCCUUGUUGGAGUUGAUUUAAGGAGAUUGAAUGAAGCAUUUGUGAAGUUAAAGAGGUGACAAAAACUCCUCCCCAUAUAUCUUCCGGGGCCUUGUGAGCCCACCUUAUGCAAUUUAUUUACUUUAAUUGUUAAUUCAAUUUAGUUCAUGUAAUUUGUUUUUAAUUAAACUUUAUUGAAUUUAUUUUUUAAUUCAAUUCUAUUUUGUUUUAUCUGAUUGCUUUAUCAAGCAUUUGGGUAACAAAUCUAACAUGUUUUUAUUUUUUUUUUUAAAUAUUAACAUAUCCUUUAAAUUACAUCACUUUUCAUUUUAUAAAUAACAAAUUAUAGCAUCAAUAUUUCUAUCAGCAUAUAUAGUUCGUCCAAAGCAUAAGAAUAUUUUGAGUUCAUCAAUGAUGUCACUCUAUGUAGGGGUGUGCAAAUUUCGGGUAAAAUCGAAUUAAUUCAGUUAACCGGUUGAAUUUGGUUAAUCAGUUGGUUAAUCGAAUUAAUUCGGUUAGGGUCGAUUAAUAAUUUUUUAGAAGCUCGAUUAACGGUUAAUUCGAUUCGAAAUCGGUCGGUUAACCGAAUUUAAUAAAUAGUAUUACAAUAUAUAAGUAUUCGGUCGGUUCGGUUAAUUUUUGGGAAAUAUAAAUUAAUCAGUCAGUUAAGUCUGUUAAUUUUUUAUAUGUUUUAUACUUGUUUUAACCAAAAAUAACAAAUAUAUAUAAAUUUCGGUUAAUUCAGUUAACAGACUAAAUUAACAGAGCAAGUUCCGUUCAGUUAAGUUUUUUUUAAAAAUUUUGGUUCGGUUAAACGUUAAGGGUUUAAAAGAGUCGUUUAAUUCAGUUAAUAAUAGUUCAGGCCGGUUAACGAAUUGAACACCCCUAGCUCUACGUCUUGCAUUAACUAAUCACAUUUUCUUAUGUUAUCUCAAGCUUAAUUUCGACCAAGAAAUACAAGGUCCAAGAAACUUGCCUAUGUCAUUGUCGCAUGCCUCCAACUCUAGAGGACACCCUAACCUACUUUUAGUGGCGAAGUCUAGGGUUGACAUAGUUUUAACUCCUAAAAUGAAAAAAAAAUUCAUUUGUGUCAUUUUAUAAUUUAAAAAAUUUUAAAUUAGUAAUAGUAUAAUUGCACUUUGACCCCACAAAAUGAUAAAAUAUGAUUUAAUCAUUUACAAAUUAUAAAUAUAUAAGCUAUUAGAAUGGUUAAAUUGUAUUUUUACUAUUGUAGAAAUAUAAAAUUUAAUUUCACCUCCCAAAAUUUUUUGCCUAACUUCUCAAAAUCCAAAAACCAAAACCCAUAAUCUAAAAUUGUAACCCUAAAUCCUAAACUCUCAAACCUAAAUAUAACAUUUAAAAAAUGCCCACCGAAUUAUUUUUCCUUCAUUUGUUCAAGCUUCAAUCCCAUAUUAGGAAGAGAUUUUGAACCCAACUCUAACAUCAACGAACCUGAAAUUAACUCUCCUGAUUUUCCAUGCUUUUCUUCAGCAUGGUCUUCCUCUAGUGUUUAUGCAUUAUAAUAUGGAUACAAAAUAUAUUUUAAACUAACAUUAAAUAAGGUUUAGGUUUAUGAUAAACCCUAUUUACGAUUAGUGUAAAUGAUCCUCAUAUGAAGAAUGCUUAAAUACUUCACAAAGAUUAUACUGAUGAAGAGUAAUAGAAUUAGGAGAGUAGAGAGUUGACUUUGGUUGAGGUUAGAGUUGGAUCGAAAUAAUCUUUAACCCAAUUAAGUUGGAGGAAAAUAAUUUCGUAAGGGUUUUCAAAUAUUAAAAUUUAAGAUUGAGACCUUAAAGAAUCGAACUAGAAUUUAGGGUUUAGAGGUAAUUAAACAAAGGGUAAGGAGUUUUGAUGGACUAAUGUAGGCGAAAUAAAUCAUGGUGAUGAGGUCUCAUUUAAAUUAUACGAGAUUUUGUCGAGAAUCUCCAAUUAGGGUACUGCCAUUUCAUUGUGUUCCAAUGAUGGGAAUACAAUUCGGUAGAAGGAAUAUCCCCAAAAAGUAAACCUCAACAUACAAAAAUAUUAGAUUUUUUUAAAAAAUUUUCAUAUACAUCUUGAUAUUUAUAGUCUUUAAAAUAAUUUAAUAUUAAAAAACUUAAUUUAAAAUGACGACAUUUUUAUAAAAAAAAGCAAUAUAUUAUAUAAAAAAUUAAACUAUAUAGAUAGUCAUUAAACUAUCAAAAAUUCCCAUUUUAGGCACUUUAAAUAAAAUCUUGCAAUUUAAACAACCAGGCUAUAUAAUUUGUUCAUAUUGAUAACUUCCGUUAAAAACUUUAACAGAAAUCUGAUAUGACAUUUUUUUGACACAUGAAUCAAUCAUUGAAUGCCACAUGACACAAUUAACCACGUAAGUGUUGCAUACCACUUUAAAGAACUAAAAUAUAAUUUGCUCAAUACUAAUUAUUAAUAAAAAAAUGAUAAUUAAAUGGUUGAAAAAAACCUAAAAAUCUAUUUUUUAUUUUAAUUAAUAAUUAGUAUUGGACAAAUAAUAUUUUAGUCCUAUGCAAUAUUUAUGUGGUAAAUUGUGUCAUGUGACAUCUAAUUAUUGGUUUAUGCGUCAAGAAAAAUGUCAUGUUAAAUUUUUAUUAGAAUUUUGACGAAAUAACUAAAAUAAACAAAUUAUAUAACGUAUGUGUUUAAAUUAUAAUUUUUUUUAUUUUAAAUACUUAAAAUGAAUUUUUUUUAUAAUUAAGUGAGUAUGUGUAGUUUAUCCUAUAAAAUAAUUCACGAUUUAUGACUAAAAACAAUUCAGUUGUUUAAGAAAAUAAUAAAAAUAAAAAAUGAGAGCAUGCAUGCAUGAGAGCCUUAUAAAAUAUGCAAUCACCGUAUAAAAAAGAAAGAAAGAUUGAUUGAUUGAUAUUUAAUAUUCGAUAUGUGUCUCAGAAUCCAAAUCUUCAUCAGAUUCCAUUUUGGCUCCAAAUCCUAAACUCACCUUUGACUCUCCUUUAAAACAAUCAUCAACCAUCUAUUUCCAUUCUAUUCAAAUCUGACGGUCAAUACCCAAUAUUUCACAUCACAUGAUUUUCAGUUCGCGAACACCCUAUCCACCCUCCUCCCCUCACUCACCCUCUUUCUCUCUAUGAAUACUCACCCACCUAUCCCCUCCUUUUUCUCUCUCUGAAACUUUCCUCUCUCAAAAUCUCAAACCCAGAUUUGUUCUCUCUCUCUCUCUCUCUCUCUCUCUCUCUCUCUCUCUCUCUCUCUUUCCAAUCAAUUAAUUCCUCCAUUGGAGGAGCUUAGGUUUGUCUGAAACAACCCAGAUCUCUUUUUUGUUUGUUUGCUUGUUUGUUUCGUUAGAUUAGAUCUCAUGUUUUUUUAUGUUCUUUUUUUUUUGGACAGGGUUUGUUGGUGUUCUGAUCUUUGCUCUGUCUGAAAAAUAAACAGAAUUAUAAACCAACACCAACGCCAUGGGAAGAUUUGAAGAGGGAGGAUUCGAUUCAGUGGUUUGCCCUAAGCCUAUACGAACCUUUAGAUGGUCUACCAAGUAUGUCCCUUUUUUUAAUCUUCUAAUUUAUUUCUGCUUUCAUUAUCUUUUUAUGUAUCAUGGUUCUUAUUUUAUUUUUGAUUUGGGAAAAUUCCAGCAGCUGUUAUCAGACUGAGAUGGCUGAUUCAAAAGCUGGUGCAGAGCUUCUUGAUAUAAUCCUCUCCGAGGUAAAUUCAAUUAAAAAAAGAAGAAGAUUUUUCUGGGCUUUAAUUUUUCUUUUUGUUUCUUUGAUGACUCUGGGUACUGAUUCUUUGAUUUUCAUGUAAUUUUUCUAGAUUUUCUUUCUGAUUUUGUACAAUUAGAUGUGACCUAAAGGGGUAUCGUUUUAAUUGAGUUUCAGGGAGGGUAUGGGGCCGAGAACCCCACCGACCAAAUGGCUUCAUCACCACCGUAUUUCUGUGGAUCACCGCCGAGCAGGGCGUCGAAUCCGGUAAUCCAAGAUGCCCGAUUCAACGACGAGCAGCCGGUGCUACCUCCACUAACAUCCCCGGGACCCUCCUCAAGGGGAGGAUGCGUGAGGGUGAAAUUCGGGCAGAUGCCAGCUGCUGUACGAAUCGAGGGAUUUGAUUGCCUCACCAGAGAUGGCCGCCAUCGCAGAAUCUCCGCCGUGGCUUAAGAAAUACCGAGGGGAAGAAAAUUUUGAUAUGAGAAAAAAAAAUUGAGAGGAGAGAGGGAGAUGAUAAAAUUAAGUUACAACUUGGAAUAGUGUGGGUAGUGUUGGAUUUGUAAAUAGAAGAUUAAAAUGAGAUGAUGGGUGUUAAAUUGUUGGGUCUUUGAUGAUUUUGGGAUGGGAUUUUCCUUGCAUAAAAGAACUAGAGGGGAGCAAAAACAAGGUUUAUUGCCCCCACUCUUGUUAGGGUUCCUUUUUUUUUUUUUUGCUUUCUUUAAUUAUUAAUUACUGUAUUUGGUGAGAGGAGAGGAUGGAUGGGAGAGACAUUUUUGUAAUAUAUCGUGUUUGAUCAAUGACACUCUCAUCCUUCCUCCUUCGCAUGUAAUUGUAAUUUGAAGGAAAUGGAGGUUUUAAUUUUUCUUUUGCCUUAAUUUAUUAAUGAAUAAGAAAUGGGUAGGCUUUAGGUUUGGGUGACGAAUGACGAUAAGAUUAUACAGGGAUAAUGAAAAUAAAAAGGUGCUUUUACAUUACUGUUGGCUGCUACUGCUUAUUGCGAUUCGGCGUCUAAAUCACAAAAUCGUGGCACCACCAUCUGCUCAUCUUUCUAUCCUUUUCUACCUCUACCUUACGUCGACAUUGGAGCCAUAUUUAGCUUACAUCCUUAACAUCUUUUAAUAUAUGUUCUAUUAAAGUGACAUUUUUUUUAUAUAUUUAUUUGUCUUGUCUAUAUUACAUUUAGGGAUGGUCACGACGUUUUCCAUCUGUCUCCACUUCAAUUCCAAUUUUUUAAAUUUUUUUAUAUAUUUGAAUUAUUUACUAUCUAUGCAUUGGCAUUGAUUUUUUUUUAUGUAAUCAAAAAUAUAAAAAAUGUUAUAAAAUUAGAAGAUAUUUUAAUGAAGGUGUCCAGACGUCCCAAGAAGAAUUUUAACUACCAUUUUAUUUAAGUUAAGAUGCGAUGUUAAAAAUGUUAAUUAAAUUUUAGGAAUAUUUAAAUAUUUAUAAACAAUUUUUAUCUGAUUUUUUUAUCUAACUACUCAUAGUGAGUGAAUCAGUACGUGUAUAUAUAUAUAAUAUUAUAAAUUUAUAAAUUUUAAUAGUUUAUAUUGUGUUGACAUUAUUUUAGAUAAUUAAUGUCGCCUACAACUUUACAUACAAUUUUAAAAUGAUGAACAACAAAAGUACAUACAAUUUUAAUAGCUAGGCCGGCCAAAGCUUUUUAGCCUCUUCAAUACGAUAUUUGAGAUUAAAAUUUAUGUUUGAUUAAUUGGAUUUAAGAAAAAUAUUUUGUAUUUUGCGAUUUUUAUAAGAUGCAUUUUGCAACUUGAGCAUUAAAAUAGAAAAACUUAUGUAUUUUUCUUUAAAAAAAUAGAAAAAAUACAUUCAAUUAAGUUUUCAAACAUUAAAAUUACAUUAUUUAAAUUUUUUUAUUAACGUUUUCCAUUAUGAAUUGCAACCGUUAACCAUCACUUAGUUAAUAGCAUUGAUGUUGAUGUGAUAAUCCACAUCAACAACCCAUUGUUAUGCCAAAUAAAUUACAAAAAUAUAUUUUUAACCAUAAUUUUCUUAUUUAUCGGCUUCAUCACUACUGAGACGGAAAUAAUUAUGGAUUUUUAAUUUUAAUUUUUGGUGAAGAAAUUAUUAAUCCUGAUAAAUUUGUCUUGUUAAAUUUAGGUUAAUUACAACAUCAUUUUUUUAAUUAUAUGGCUACUAAGUGAAAUUUUUUUAAAUUUUAAAAUGUCAUAACAAAAAUUUAAUAAAAAAAUUAAUUGGGUUAACAGUCAAAUUUGAAUUUUAAAAUUUGAAAAAUAGUGGAACUUAAUUUUUAGAAAUAAAAAUUCAAAGACUAAAUUUCAAAUUAUCGAAAACACAAAACUUAUGACAUAUUUUAACCUUUUAUUUUACAUGUUCACUUUUAACAAAACUUUUUAAAUUUCACUUAUUAUUUAAAUUUUAUUAUUAUACAAAAUCUAAAAUAAUUAUAUUAUUUUAAUGUAUUUAUUAAUUUUAUCUUACAUGUUUUAAAUAAUAUUGACUUCUCUUCAUAAAAAAAUAACAUUGACUUUAAAUAAAACUUUUUUAAAUUUUACUUAUUUUAUUUAAAAUUUAUUAUUAUAGAAUAUUUUUUUUAAAAAAAUCAUUAAGUAAAAUUUAAAUAAAUUUUUAUGAAAUUUAAUUAUUUAAAAUAUUUAAAAGGACAAACGUUUAGAGUUUAAAAGAAAAAUUAGCAAUAACAUUUUAUUUAAAACAGAGAAUGAAUUUUCAUAAUUGGUCUAAUAGUUAAGGGAUGUUUAACUAUAAGAUUCAUUCAGAUUUGAGUCUCUAGAGGAAUAAAUGAUAGGCUUUUAUUCGGAUAAUUCUUUUUAAAUUUUGCGCGUGUGUGUGAUGUAGAUAUGUCUCUUUUAUACCGAUCUUUUAAUUAAUAUAUAUUAUUUUAGUAAAAUAAAUAAUUAAAAUGAUUUUUUUGAUAAAGUGAGAGGGAAUAUUUCAACAAAGCUCCUUUUCUUUAGUUAUUGUGAUUUCCGUGGUAGGAUAAAAUGAAAUCUCUGUGGGGACACUUCCCACUUGCCUGCCGGAUUUUGCCUGCCUAAUACAAGGCAUCAACUUGUUACAUGUCUUUUAUUUAUUCUUUCUUUUUUUUUUCAGUUUAUUAUGAUGAAUUUUUAUAUUUUUAUUAUACUCUUUUUUAUCUUUUAAUUCUAUCCAAAUAAAUAUUUCAACUUUUAAUUUUUAUUAAAUUUUAAUCAUCUAAGCUCCGAGACCUAACUUUUAAUUUAUGCUUGAAUAAAAUAAUUAAGAUAAAUUUUUUUUCAUUCAAAACAAAUGUUUAUUUAGAUACAAAUUUAAAAUAAUAAUGAUUUAUUUUUUAUAAUAAAAAUUUAGGACUCGUUACAAAAAAAAAAUCAAGGUUUUCUUAAUAUUUUAACCAAUAUACUUACAUUCUCAUUAAGGAUUUCCUAAUAGUUUAGUAAAAAUAAUCACUUAUAUUAGUUUUACAAAUUCGUAAUUUAUUUUAUAGACUAUACGAUCCAAUCCAAUCAUCACAUUUCAUAUUUUAUUUAUUUAAAAUUUACAUAUCGAAUUUUAAAUCAAUUAAAAAUGUAAUACUUUACUUAAUGUAAAUUAAUUUAAAAUUUUACGUGUAUUUAUUAAAUUUAAUUAAUAAUUUGUAUGAAGCAUUUUGAUAACCUUUUUCUAAGCUAAUUGAUGGAAUUUGGUGCAACUUGAGGUUUGCGAUGGUAAUUUUAGAUUCUGAAUUCGUCAUCUCUGGAAAUUAUGUAAGUCCCAUAUCUAGGCAUAAUCAUAUUUCAAAAGAUCAUAUCAGAAUCUUUCAAUGCAGCUCUGAAUUGGUUGAUUGGUAUCAUGACUACAAAAUUUUAUAACUAAUAGACGAUGACGUGAAACUUACAAAUUAUUUUAAUCUAAAAUAUAUAUGUAUGUAUAAAUAUAUAUCCAAAUUCUCCUCCGAGACUAUAACUCUAAAUGAAUUACAUGAAAAAGAAUUAGAAAUGAAUUGUAUAUUUUACUAAUUACGAUAAUUGUAUUUUCUCGAGAAUGUAAGAUAUGACUUGAAAUUAAUUUGAUUUAAUUGAUUAUUAUUUAAUUUGACGAAUAAAUUAAAUAAUUAAGUUCAGUGUAAAAAUUAAAUUAUUUAGUCAUUGUAGUUCAAUAAAAUUCGAAUAAUUAAAUAAGUUUACAAAUAAAUUCUAAUAUAAUAAAAUUAAAAUUAUAUAGUUUAAAAUAAUUGAUUAAUAAAUUCAAUUAAUAAUUUAUAUGAAUGUAUAUUUAAUUAUUUAGUUAAUUAAAUAUUAGAGCUUGAUUUUUUAUUUAUUUAAAAUCAUUGAAUGUAAUGGCCCAAAUUUGAGGUUAUCGGAACAGUGGUUUCGGGACCACAAAUCCGAUGAGAAAAAUUUUAUUUUUCUUAUAUUUUUAUGGUCUAUAAUUUCAAAAAAUGAUUUUUUGAAAAUUUCGUUCGAAAAUUUCGACGUUUGGGCACUCAAUUUAGUCAAAAGGACUAAAUUGUAAAAAGUGCAAAAGUUGAGUUCUACAUGUUAGAGGUGUCCAAUUGUUAUGAAACUUUAAAUUGGAGGUCUUUAUAUGAUAAUUAUACCAUUGGUAACUUGGUAGACAAAAAUGGACAUGAGAUAAGUGAAAUAGAAAAUUUUUAAGUUAGGGGCAAUUUGGUAAUCUAGUAAUUAAAAUGAAUUAAAAGGGAAAAAGAUGGCAAAAAUCAUCAUCUUCUUCAUAUGAACGAAAUCAGCAAGGGGGGAAGCCAUAGUUAGGGUUUUCAAGCUUCCAAGCUCCAUAGUAAGUGAUCCCAAGCCCCGUUUUUAAUGUUCUUUACGUUUUUGAGAUCCCGGUAGCUUAAUUUAGCUUAUUCUAGCAAUAAUUUAACCUAGGGUUUAUAUUUUGAAAAAUACCCAUAGGUGAAAAGUGUUUAUUUUGAUGUUUUAUGAUAGAAUAUGAAGCUAGAAAUUAUGUUAAACAACUUUUGCUAAGCGAUUUUAAGUGAAAACGAGUAAAACGACAUAAUCGGUAAAAAUACCUAAUGUUCAUAAGUACAUGUUAGAGUGGGAAUUUGAUGUUUCCAUAGAAGGGGAAAAUGUUCAGAAUGUUAUAAAACAUAAGAAUAAGAGAUGAAGUUUAAUUUCCGAGCCUUGGGGCAAAAAUGUAAUUAUGUAAAAGUUUAGGGGCAAAAUUGUAAUUUUGAAAAAGUUAGAGUCGAUGGCUGUUUUAAUGAAUGUGAUUAUUAAAUAAGUUAAAUUUACUAUUUUAGAUCAAGAAGUACGAAACUCGAGGUUAGACAAAGGGAAGAAUAAAGUUGAAGACUAAGUUGGUGAAUUUGGCUAUAAUUGGUACCGAGGUAAGUUUACGGUAAAUAAAUGCAAUAUUUCAAUAUUUAUUAUUAAUUCUGUUAAUUUCCAGCAAUUAUGAAUUUAUUUUAUGAAUUUAUUUGAUGAUGAUCCGAGCAUGAAAUGAUAGAGAAUUAAAAUUUAAAAGUCCCGUUGAUACAUAAGGAUGGUACUGGAUACGAAUGUCAUGACAUUUGGGUAAAGAGAUCCCAUGUAAGACCAUGUCUGGGACAUGGCAUUGGCAUCCUUAAGAUCAUGAGAGGUCCCCUGUAAGACCAUGUCUGGGACAUGGCAUGGGCACCGAGACGAGAGGUCCCAUGUAAGACCAUGUCUGGGACAUGGCGUUGGCACCGAGAUGAGAGAUCCCCUAUAAGACCAUGUCUGGGACAUGGCAUGGGCACCAUCACGAGAACAUCCCAUGUAAGACCAUGUCUGGGACAUGGCUUUGGCAUGUUAUUAUCAGAAGAGACCCGAGUAUCCUUAUUAUUCCAAUGUAGCUCAACGGGCUUGUAAACGAAUCAUGUUCAUGAAAGUUCAGUUUAAAGCAUAAAUGGCAAGCUCAUGUAAGUUGUAAGACUUAAGAACUUAUUAUACUAUCAAUUGAUGUUCAACGAUGCAGCAAGGAUUGAGUAAGUUAUGCACACAAGUAUUCUAAGUAAACAAGUAAGAGAACUAGUAUGAGAUUAACUAAAGAGUAAACUAGAGAUAUAGACAUUAAGUUUAAUUAUUUAAGUUAAAUAUUGUUAUUUAUUUGCUAGUAAACUUACUAAGCUUUAUGCUUACUUCUUUUAUUUCUCUUUCUCUUAUAGUAUUGCAAAGCUACUUCAAGGAUCCUAAAGAAGUCGGAGAUCGUCCACACUAUCAACUACAACUGCUCGGUAUUUUAUAUCGAAACACGUUUGAGUUAUGGCAUGUAUAGGGAUUUAGUUAUUUUGUAUGUUUGUAAUGAUGAUUUUGCUAAUGAGUGAUGUGUAAGUAUUUGAUGAUGUAUGGUUAUUAAAAUGGUUAAGGAUGAAGGUGUUUGUUGUUAUGAAAGAUUAGGUGAUAAAUUAUGCAUGGAAAUCAUGAAAGGAUAAAAUUUUGCAAAGAAACAGAAUUCAGGCAGCACAGUGACGUGAAUUUGAAAAAUCACCCAAGAUAGUAUAAAAUGAAUUAGAGGGUGAAUGAUAUAUGGAAUUAAAGCUUGUUGAGUCUAUUUUCAUGGAAAAAUAACGGUGUAGAAAAAGGAAAUUUAUAUUUUAAGAUAUGUGAAUUUUAGUAAGAUAGGGUCAGAACUGUUUUUGGAGUCCCCUGUUCUGAGUUUAGAAAAUAAUUACAAAUUGUACAAAAAUGGUUAUGAGUUGAAAUUUACAUGCUUAGAUUCCUUAAUGAGUCUAUUUUCUGUAUAAACAAGUAAGAACUUCAUAUGAAAAUCCUACAGUUAGAAAACUUAUUUUUAGUGACUAGAGGUCAGGGCAGUCAGGUGGUGAAACAGGGGAGACUUUAACUAAUAAACUGUACUAAUUUGCUGAACCAAAAAUUCUAAAAAUUUUAUGGUGAGUAGAUAUAUGAGUCUAGUUUCAGGGAAAAAUUACGGAAUUAAAUUUCGAGUUCUGUAGCUCAAGUUAUAAUUAAUUUAGUAACUGCUGCGCGAUUGGACAGAUUUGCUGCGAAUAAUGAAAUAAAUUUUCAAACCUAGUUUUUAUGCUCCAAAUUGGUAAGAUAAGCUAAGUAAUGCCUCGUGCUCGACUCCGGAAACGGUCUCAGGUAAGGGGUGUUACAUUUUAUUGGUAUCAGAGCCAGGUUUAGUCGGUUCUCGGAAAUACUCAGUAAGAAUAAGAGUCUACCUAUACAUGCCAUACUUAUAUAUUUUGAUAGUGUGACGACUCCUGACGAUUUUAAAAUGUUUUCUUUUAUAGUUAUGGAUCCUGAACGAGCUAGUACAGAUGAAGUAGAGAGUAAUGCACCUAUUCCCGCAGAAGGGACGGUGCCAUCAGAUGUUAAUGUUAGUGAAAGACCUGCAUCAGAUAGACAGGGAGGAGGAGCUAGAGAAGCCUUCUUCCAAGCAAUGACUGAUUGGUUUGCCGAGUUCGUUCGUACGAAUCCGGCUGUAAGACCUCCACCCCCUCAAGAUUCACAGGUUCCCCAUGUAGCUUCCCCAGCUGCAGGUAUAUUUAUCAGGGAGAGACCACCUAUUGAUAAGAUUAGGAAGCAAGGGGCUGAAGAAUUUCGGGCUACCAAAGAUGACGAUGCAGAAAAAGCAGAAUUCUGGCUUGAGAAUACCAUCAGGGUUUUUGAAGAAUUAUCUUGUACACCGGAAGAAUGUAUGAAGUGUGUGGUCUCACUUCUCAGAGAUUCCGCUUAUCAUUGGUGGAAGACUCUCGUGUCUAUCGUACCGAGUGAGAGGGUUACUUGGGAUUUCUUUCAGGAGGAGUUUCGAAAGAAGUACAUCAGCCAGAGAUUUACAGAGCAGAAAAGGAAGGGGUUUCUUGAGCUAAAACAAGGUAAGAUGUCCGUGACUGAAUAUGAACGCGAAUUUGUCAGACUUAGUAAGUAUGCUCGGGAAUUUGUAUCCACUGAAGCCAACAUGUGCAAGAGAUUUGAAGAUGGGCUUAAUGAUGACAUCCGACUAUCAGUGGGUGUAUUGGAAAUCAGAGAGUUUGUUGUUCUGGUAGAAAGAGCUUGUAAAGUAGAAGACUUGUUAAAAGAAAAAGAGAAGAGCAAAGCUGAAGCUGGAGCGCAGGAUACAAAGAAGAGGCAAAUGAGUAAAUCAUUUCAGUCUACAUCUAAGAGGCCUAGGGAGCUCUCUAGCGGAUCACAUUUUCCACAUAUAUAUUCUGGCCGAAGCAGAAGUAGAAGAUUCGAGGGUUUUAGAGCUCAAACCACUACAGUUGCAAGUACUGGCAGAACUCGACCUCCUAGACCGGAAUGUCCUCAAUGUGGGAGACGCCAUCCCGGAGAGUGUAGAGCAGGUGAAAAUGUUUGUUUCAGAUGUGGAGCAUCCGAUCACUUUAUUCGGGAUUGUCCUGAAACAACUAAAAAAGAAGAAAUAACGAGUGCGAGAUCAGGUAAUGCUCCUACCAGAGGUAGACCGCAGAGAAACUCAGGAGUGGGGGCAAGUAAUAGGGGUGCAUUCAAAGAUUCAGCGGUUAGAUCAGAUGUUAGAGCACCUGCAAGAUCAUAUGCUAUUCGAGCUCGUGAAGAGGCGUCCUCUCCUGAUGUAAUUGCGGGUACAUUUUCUCUCUAUGAUACUACUGUUAUUGCAUUAAUUGAUCCUGGCUCUACACAUUCAUAUAUAUGCACAAAAUUAGCAUUUGUUAAAAAUUUGUCUGUUGAACCUACUGAAUUUAUGGUUAAAGUCUCGAACCCCCUGGGCCAGUUUGUGAUAGUGGAUAAAGUUUGUAAAAAUUGUCCACUAAUGGUAAAAGGUAUUUGUUUCCCGGUUGACUUGAUGUUAUUGCCUUUUGAUGAGUUUGAUGUGAUAUUGGGCAUGGAUUGGUUAACUCAGCAUGAUGCGGUAGUAAACUGUAGACAAAAAUAUGUUGUGUUGAAAUGCCAGAAUGGAGAAUUACUUUGGGUUAAAUCUAAUCAGACAGAGGGAUUAUCCGAUAUGAUUUCAGUUAUGACAGCUUAGAGGUGUGUUAGAAAAGGGUAUGAUGUUUAUUUGGCGUAUGUGUUGGAUACUAAGGUAUCUGAGUCAAAGAUACAGGCAGUGCCAGUUGUAUGUGAAUUUUCUGAUGUAUUUCCAGAGGAGUUACCAGGGUUGCCACCAGAAAGAGAAGUGGAAUUUUCUAUAGAUCUGAUUCCGGGAACUGCCCUAAUUUCCAUAGCUCCGUAUCGUAUGGCUCCUAUAGAAUUAAAAGAGUUAAAGGCACAGUUACAGGAACUUGUUGACAGAGGUUUUGUUCGUCCGAGUCAUUCACCUUGGGGUGCUCCAGUUCUGUUUGUGAAAAAGAAAGACGGGUCUUUGAGAUUAUGUAUUGACUAUCGGCAGCUUAAUAAGGUAACUAUAAAGAAUAAGUACCCAUUGCCUCGAAUUGAUGACUUAUUUGAUCAACUGAAAGGUGCCACAGUAUUUUCAAAGAUUGAUCUCCGAUCGGGUUAUUAUCAGUUACGGGUAAAAGAGCCAGAUGUGCCAAAGAAAGCUUUCAGAACCAGGUAUAGGCAUUAUGAGUUUCUGGUUAUGCCGUUUGGGUUGACUAAUGCACCUGCAGUAUUCAUGGAUUUGAUGAACCGGAUAUUCAGACCGUAUCUAGAUAGGUUUGUAGUAGUUUUUAUUGAUGACAUUUUAGUUUAUUCUCGGGAUGAAACUGAGCAUGCAGAACAUUUGAAAAUAGUGUUGCAAAUUCUGCGUGAAAAGAAACUUUAUGCUAAAUUCAGUAAAUGUGAAUUUUGGCUUCGAGAGGUAGGUUUUCUCGGACAUAUUGUAUCCGCAGAAGGCAUCAGGGUAGAUCAGAGUAAAAUUUCAGCUAUUGUCAAUUGGAGUCCACCGAAAAAUGUAUCUGAAGUUAGAAGUUUCUUGGGUUUAGCUGGUUAUUAUCGGAGAUUUGUACAAGGGUUUUCUAUGAUAGCUUCUUCAAUGACCCGUUUAUUACAGAAAGAUGUUAAAUUUGAAUGGACAGAAAAAUGCCAGCAAAGUUUCAACCGAUUGAAGGAGUUGUUAACGAAAGCACCUGUGUUGGUACAGCCUGAAUCGGGUAAGGAAUUUAUUAUUUAUAGUGAUGCAUCAUUAAAUGGUUUGGGUUGUGUCUUGAUACAAGAAGAUAAAGUAAUAGCCUAUGCUUCAAGACAACUUAAGCCACAUGAAAGAAACUACCCGGUACAUGAUCUCGAGUUAGCUGCUAUUGUAUUUGCAUUGAAAAUAUGGCGGCAUUAUUUGUAUGGUGAAAAGUGUCAUAUUUAUACUGAUCACAAAAGCUUGAAAUAUUUGAUGACACAGAAAGAUUUGAAUUUGAGACAACGCAGGUGGCUUGAAUUGAUAAAGGAUUAUGAUUUGGUUAUUGAUUACCAUCCGGGUAAGGCUAACGUGGUAGCUGAUGCUUUGAGCCAAAAAUCUCUAUUUGCUUUACGAGCUAUGAAUACCCGGUUGUCACUGUCUAAUGAUGGUUCAAUCAUAGCUGAAUUGAGAGCUAAAUCGACAUUUCGUCAACAAAUAUGUGAAGCUCAGAGGAAUGAUGAGAAAUUACAGGCUAAACGGGUGCAUUGUGAGUCAGGUAAUGAUUCAGAAUUUCAUAUUGGAACUGAUGGUUGUUUAUUAUUCAGAGGCAGAGUAUGUGUACCGAAGAAUUCAGAACUUGUACAGAAGAUUUUACACGAAGCACACAGUGGUAAUAUGUCCGUACAUCCGGGAGGUAAUAAAAUGUAUAAUGACUUGAAAAAGAUGUAUUGGUGGCCGAGUAUGAAACGUGAUAUCUCUGAGUUUGUAUCAAGAUGUUUAGUAUGUCAGCAGGUUAAGGCUGAACAUCAGGUACCUUCGGGGUUGCUUCAGCCAAUCACUAUACCGGAAUGGAAAUGGGAAAGAAUCACUAUGGAUUUUGUAUCUGGGUUACCGUUAUCUCCGAGGAAGAAAGAUGCCAUUUGGGUAAUUGUCGACCGAUUGACAAAGUCCGCGCACUUUAUCCCAGUAUGUAUGGAUUAUUCUUUAGAUAAAUUGGCUGGAUUGUAUAUAUCUGAGAUUGUUAGACUACAUGGAGUGCCUAUCUCCAUUAUAUCAGACAGAGAUCCCCGAUUUACGUCUCGUUUCUGGAACAAAUUGCAAGAAGCUUUGGGUACUCAGUUGUAUUUCAGUACUGCAUUUCAUCCUCAGACAGAUGGCCAAUCUGAGCGUGUAAUUCAGGUAUUGGAAGAUAUGCUCCGAUUUUGUGCAUUAGAGUUUCAAGGUAAUUGGGAAAGGUAUCUACCUUUGAUUGAAUUUGCUUAUAAUAACAGUUAUCAGUCCAGUAUUAAAAUGGCUCCGUAUGAAGCUUUGUAUGGUAGAAAAUGUAGAACACCAUUAUAUUGGACAGAGCUCAGUGAAAAGAAGAUACACGGGGUUGAUUUGAUUCGGGAAACAGAAGAAAAAGUAAGACUGAUUCGGGAUAGUUUAAAAGCAGCUUCCGAUCGUCAAAAGUCAUACGCCGAUCUUAAACGAAGGGAGAUUGAAUUUCAGGUGGGUGAUAAAGUAUUCUUAAAAGUGUCUCCUUGGAAGAAAGUUCUCCGGUUCGGUCGAAAGGGUAAAUUGAGUCCAAGAUUUAUCGGACCAUAUGAGAUUAUAGAAAGAAUUGGACCAGUUGCUUACCGAUUGGCUUUACCACCGGAACUCGACAAAAUUCAUAAUGUAUUUCAUGUAUCUAUGCUACGACGGUAUCGAUCAGAUCCUUCACAUGUUAUUACUCCAACAGAAGUAGAAAUUCAGCCGGAUAUGACUUAUAAUGAAGAACCGGUUAAAGUAUUAGUACGAGAAACAAAGGAGCUUAGAAACAAAAAGGUAAAUCUGGUGAAAGUGCUAUGGCAAAAGCACGGGAUUGAGGAAGCAACAUGGGAACCGGAAGAGACAAUGAGGAAGCAAUACCCGAAUCUCUUUACUGGUAAGAUUUUCGAGGACGAAAAUCCUAAACAGGGGGGGAGAGUUGUAAUGGCCCAAAUUUGAGGUUAUCGGAACAGUGGUUUCGGGACCACAAAUCCGAUGAGAAAAAUUUUAUUUUUCUUAUAUUUUUAUGGUCUACAAUUUCACAAAAUGAUUUUUUGAAAAUUUCGUUCGAAAAUUUCGACGUUUGGGCACUCAAUUUAGUCAAAAGGACUAAAUUGUAAAAAGUGCAAAAGUUGAGUUCUACAUGUUAGAGGUGUCCAAUUGUUAUGAAACUUUAAAUUGGAGGUCUUUAUAUGAUAAUUAUACCAUUGGUAACUUGAUAGACAAAAAUGGACAUGAGAUAAGUGAAAUAGAAAAUUUUUAAGUUAGGGGUAAUUUGGUAAUCUAGUAAUUAAAAUGAAUUAAAAGGGAAAAAGAUGGCAAAAAUCAUCAUCUUCUUCAUAUGAACGAAAUCAGCAAGGGGGGAAGCCAUAGUUAGGGUUUUCAAGCUUCCAAGCUCCAUAGUAAGUGAUCCCAAGCCCCGUUUUUAAUGUUCUUUACGUUUUUGAGAUUCCGGUAGCUUAAUUUAGCUUAUUCUAGCAAUAAUUUAACCUAGGGUUUAUAUUUUGAAAAAUACCCAUAGGUGAAAAGUGUUUAUUUUGAUGUUUUAUGAUAUAAUAUGAAGCUAGAAAUUAUGUUAAACAACUUUUGCUAAGCGAUUUUAAGUGAAAACGAGUAAAACGACAUAAUCGGUAAAAAUACCUAAUGUUCAUAAGUACAUGUUAGAGUGGGAAUUUGAUGUUUCCAUAGAAGGGAAAAAUGUUCAGAAUGUUAUAAAACAUAAGAAUAAGAGAUGAAGUUUAAUUUCCGAGCCUUGGGGAAAAAUGUAAUUAUGUAAAAGUUUAGGGGCAAAAUUGUAAUUUUGAAAAGGUUAGAGUCGAGGGCUGUUUUAAUGAAUGUGAUUAUUAAAUAAGUUAAAUUUAAUAUUUUAGAUCAAGAAGUACGAAACUCGAGGUUAGACAAAGGGAAGAAUAAAGUUGAAGACUAAGUUGGUGAAUUUGGCUAUAAUUGGUACCGAGGUAAGUUUACGGUAAAUAAAUGCAAUAUUUCAAUAUUUAUUAUUAAUGCUGUUAAUUUCCAGCAAUUAUGAAUUUAUUUUAUGAAUUUAUUUGAUGAUGAUCCGAGCAUGAAAUGAUAGAGAAUUAAAAUUUAAAAGUCCCGUUGAUACAUAAGGAUGGUACUGGAUACGAAUGUCAUGACAUUUGGGUAAAGAGAUCCCAUGUAAGACCAUGUCUGGGACAUGGCAUUGGCAUCCUUAAGAUCAUGAGAGGUCCCCUGUAAGACCAUGUCUGGGACAUGGCAUGGGCACCGAGACGAGAGGUCCCAUGUAAGACCAUGUCUGGGACAUGGCGUUGGCACCGAGAUGAGAGAUCCCCUAUAAGACCAUGUCUGGGACAUGGCAUGAGCACCAUCACGAGAACAUCCCAUGUAAGACCAUGUCUGGGACAUGGCUUUGGCAUGUUAUUAUCAGAAGAGACCCGAGUAUCCUUAUUAUUCCAAUGUAGCUCAACGGGCUUGUAAACGAAUCAUGUUCAUGAAAGUUCAGUUUAAAGCAUAAAUGGCAAGCUCAUGUAAGUUGUAAGACUUAAGAACUUAUUAUACUAUCAAUUGAUGUUCAACGAUGCAGCAAGGAUUGAGUAAGUUAUGCACACAAGUAUUCUAAGUAAACAAGUAAGAGAACUAGUAUAAGAUUAACUAAAGAGUAAACUAGAGAUAUAGACAUUAAGUUUAAUUAUUUAAGUUAAAUAUUGUUAUUUAUUUGCUAGUAAACUUACUAAGCUUUAUGCUUACUUCUUUUAUUUCUCUUUCUCUUAUAGUAUUGCAAAGCUACUUCAAGGAUCCUAAAGAAGUCGGAGAUCGUCCACACUAUCAACUACAACUGCUCGGUAUUUUAUAUCGAAACACGUUUGAGUUAUGGCAUGUAUAGGGAUUUAGUUAUUUUGUAUGUUUGUAAUGAUGAUUUUGCUAAUGAGUGAUGUGUAAGUAUUUGAUGAUGUAUGGUUAUUAAAAUGGUUAAGGAUGAAGGUGUUUGUUGUUAUGAAAGAUUAGGUGAUAAAUUAUGCAUGGAAAUCAUGAAAGGAUAAAAUUUUGCAAAGAAACAGAAUUCAGGCAGCACAGUGACGUGAAUUUGAAAAAUCACCCAAGAUAGUAUAAAAUGAAUUAGAGGGUUAAUGAUAUAUGGAAUUAAAGCUUGUUGAGUCUAUUUUCAUGGAAAAAUAACGGUGUAGAAAAAGGAAAUUUAUAUUUUAAGAUAUGUGAAUUUUAGUAAGAUAGGGUCAGAACUGUUUUUGGAGUCCCCUGUUCUGAGUUUAUAAAAUAAUUACAAAUUGUACAAAAAUGGUUAUGAGUUGAAAUUUACAUGCUUAGAUUCCUUAAUGAGUCUAUUUUCUGUAGAAACAAGUAAGAACUUCAUAUGAAAAUCCUACAGUUAGAAAACUUAUUUUUAGUGACUAGAGGUCAGGGCAGUCAGGUGGUGAAACAGGGGAGACUUUAACUAAUAAACUGUACUAAUUUGCUGAACCAAAAAUUCUAAAAAUUUUAUGGUGAGUAGAUAUAUGAGUCUAGUUUCAGGGAAAAAUUACGGAAUUAAAUUUCGAGUUCUGUAACUCAAGUUAUAAUUAAUUUAGUAACUGCUGCGCGAUUGGACAGAUUUGCUGCGAAUAAUGAAAUAAAUUUUCAAACCUAGUUUUUAUGCUCCGAAUUGGUAAGAUAAGCUAAGUAAUGCCUCGUGCUCGACUCCGGAAACGGUCUCGGGUAAGGGGUGUUACAUUGAACCUAGCAUGGGCGAGCAUUAUUGGCCCAGUUAGGGCAAUGGGUGGUAGCAUGAGAGUUCCUCUCCCAUGGUAAGUCACUGGCCAUUAGAAAUUUAGUGAUAUUUUAUUUGAAUAAUUUUUGUUGAGUUUAUAUUUUAGAUUAAGAGUCCAAGAAUUAUAAUUUGCAAUUAGAGAUUUUAAGAUUUUUAGUUUUAGCAUAUUGUGAUUUGCACAAUACUCUUUGUUGGGAGAGCUGGUUUUUGUCUUGUAUUUGAUUUUUUGUAUUAGAGCUUAAUUUAAAGUAAUUGUGAAUUCCAUAAUAAUAAAAAGGAAUUGGAGACUUUGGAUUUCCCUACCACUCAACACAGAGAUAUUUAGUUGAUCAAAUUUAUUGUUUUAGAUAUUAUGACAAACAUUGUUUUCAGAAAAAAUAAAAUAAAAUUUCCUAUGCUAGUUUUGACAUAUUUUCUAAAUAUUAUUCCAAAAUUUAUUACUUUACAAGAAUGUAACUUCCAUUAAAACUACAAUAGACAAAGAACAAUUUUAAAAUAACAUGACAUGAGCCCUUAAUUAAUAUGUUUGUUCUGAUAUCAUCACGAGCUAGCCAUUCGUUUGAAAAGGGUUUGGACAAAAAUAUAGGAUUGGAAAAAAAUAAAACCUAUUUUUUAAAUGGGUUAGGCCUUGGGUAGAAUUUUUUGGUUUAGGCCCGACCCAAAUUACAUGCCUAUACUUUCUUUUUUUUUUGUAUUUUCAAUUUGUUAAGAAAUAUUUAUUUUAAUAUUUAGUGUAUUUGGUGUAUUAUAAUUUUUAAAUUUGUUUUUAUAUUAAAAAAUCUAAUAAAACAAAGAGUAUUACAAUCAAGUUUGGUUUAGACAAAAUUUUAAGCGCAUUUUUCAAGUCAAACAUAGAAAGCGGACCUAAAAAUUUACAAUGAUUUGAUACGAACUUGACUCGACCCAUAAUCAGAUCUAGUCUAGUGAUGACAGAAAAUAGGAGAGAUUUGAAUUAAACUGGUGAUGAUAGAAAAUUAUGGAGGUUGAUUUGAAAAACAUAAGAUUAGAAUGGGAAGAGACACCGUAUGAUUAUUUUGUCCUUAGGUUUACCACACUCUCUCUUUUGCCAUUUCAACCUUCAAACCAAUGAUCAUAACCUGCUUCUCACCCGCCCACUACAUGAGUUUCAUGAGGGCUCAUUAAAUUGGGCCCACUUAAUCUCUUUCAGUUUUCUACCUCAAUAUUAGUAGGUUCUAAGGCUUCCGCCCAAUCAUUUUCGCCCAACCCCACAUUACACGAGUUCUCAACCAACAUUUCUUCUUCUUUACUCCUUAAUUAAUUCACGCAAUUUUUUUUACCAUUUAUAAGCUACUCAUAACUCUGUUGAAGCCCAUAAUCUAGAAAUUGUUGCAAUAACAAUGAUAUUAAUUGAGUUUAGGCUUAGUCGAUAUUUGCGUAAAAUGCUAAAUUGCUUUUGUUACUUGUCAUUUCAUAAUGUCCCAGAAAUAUGCAUUCAAACAUUCCUUCUUAGAACUGCCACCAAUUUUAUUUUCCCAUACCAAUGCAUUGUUAUAGAUUUUUGGAAAAUAUGAAUACUUGGCUGCAACUUAUUGAUAGGCCUAAAAUGGGAACUUAGUCAAAAGACUGAGAAAAUAACAUAUUCCACUAGUAUGCCCUCCUCAAGUUCAGGAUUGAAGUUCAACACCUAACUUUGGAAAGGUUACAAUCAGCAACUGCCAUGGGAAGUGCCUUCGUGAGUAUAUCAGCAACCUGAUCUACAACAUCGAAAUAGCGAGCAUUAAUUCUUUGCGACCAACAUAGCAAUGAACAAAGAGAGCAUCGACUUCUAAAUGAUUCUUCUUGUUAUGCACCACAAGGUGUUGACAACGUAGAAUGUUCCUCAGGUUGUCGGCUUGUCGCAUAAUAUUGUAGGUGGAUGCAUAAAAGGUAUUUGAAGCAGCUAACCCAAAGAGUUUCAGAAGCAGCUGCAACAGAACGGUACUAAGCUUUGGUUGAACAUCAUAGAACAGUAACUUGUUUUUUAAAUGCCCAAUUGAUGGGAGUGAGAACAAAAAUAGAAUAUAACCAGUUGCGGACACACAACCAUUAGGAUCACUAGCCCAAUCUGCAUCAUUGUACAUGUAAAAAUUUGAGCCACAUCAAUUAGAUAAAUGAAGACUAUGAAGUAUUGUUCAAGGGCAAAGCUAGAAUAUUUUUCUAGAAUAUUUUAGGGGAGCUAGGCCCAGCCUGCCCCUUCUAACUUCGCUGCUGGUGUUGCUUGUUGCAAGUAACACAACAAUCUUUUGAUUGCUAGCUAAUGUAUUUUAGAUGGAUUGUGCUUGUAUUGGGACAAUUUAUUAAUGAUAGAAUAAGAAAUGCAUGGCCUUGUGAAUGUCAAAUAAUGUAGUUUUCCAUACACUCUUCUAAAUUCUGUUGCAUUGGUCCAACUAGUUUCAUCAUUUAACACCAAAGCCUCUGAGGAACUCAUAGGAUUUAAACACCUUUUCUCUUGUGCAGAUUUGUCUUGCAAAUAAGACUGUUAAGCUUUUAUUUAUCAAGCUUUAGAUAUAAUAAUAUUUCAAAUAAACUGUUCAUAGUAUUUCUUAAGUAAUUUAUAUUAGAAAACAAAAUAAAUUCUUAGAAAAUAAUUGAAGAGAAAAAUAAAAUCAAGAACAAUUGUUUGAAUCGAUUUUACUCCUAUAUUAUAUUUUUGAGUUAAUCAGAGAACUUUAUAAACAUUUUAAAGUGAUUUUGGGUCAAAAGUACACUAAUGGCUUUUCUUCAAGUUUCUCUUGAUGAAUAGGUGUUUGUGAAACAAUCACUGAAGUUUGAAGAUUACAUCAGUCAAAAUCAUGUAUGCAAAUAGUUUAAGGUUAUUUAUGGGCUCAAAGCAAGCCCCACAUCGAUGGCAUAAAGAGUUUCACCUAAGUUAUCACGCAACUUUGGAAACAUCAACAUCCUUCCACGUGACCUGUCACGUGCCAUUUUCUUGUGAUUAUCGAUAAUCAUGUUACUGGUGUUAAUGGACAUAUCGGUUAAAAAACUAUUUUUGUUAACAUAAUGGACUAAUUAAAUUUUUUUAUCAUUAAAGGUUCAAUUAAGUGCAUUUUUUCAUAUGGAUUUAAUUGAUUUUUUUUUUAUUAUUUGCUGUGAGAAUUUUAGUUUUUAUACUUUAGUCUAUUAUUAAAUUUUAUUUUAUUUUAUUUUAGCGUGUGGACUUAAAAAUGCUUCUUAUUUUGUUCCUAUUUUGUUAGAGACAAGGACGGUCCACUUAAUGCAAACAUAUCUUAAUAUAUUAGUGAUUUUUAUAAAUUUUUAUUUUGAACACAAAAAUAAAAAAUUUGUAAUUUAAGUAGUGUCGUUUCAUUUUUUUAUCAUUUUAGUUGAUCAUCGCUAUUUCUUUAUUAAAUAUAUUCAUUUUAACCCCUCAAUUUUAGUAAGUUUUCAAUUUAGUCAUUCAUUUUCUUUUUAAAAUUGUUUUUUUUCAAAAAAAACCCUCGAUUUUUAGAGAGAAUUAAGCUAUUCAACUACUGAGAUGAAACCUAAGUUUUCAACCUAUAGUUCAAUUCCAUGUAAAAACUCAGGUUUUUCCCAAACUUUUCAAAACCGGAUUGAUGGUCGAACUGGCCAGGUUGUUGAUUUUUCAAUCCGAACUGUCCGAACAACUCAAUUAAAUAAAUCAUCAAAUAAUUAAUAAAAAUAAAAAUAUUAAAAAUCAGUUCAACUUUUUUUAGCUCGGUUAAAUCAAUUUGUACUAGUUCCUAACUCAAUCAGUCUAAAGGCUUUCUUUGGACCGAUAUCCCAAACGAUUAUUAAUCUAAUCGGUCUGACCAAUCAGUCCAGUUCAAUUUAGAUAACCAUGGUUUUUCCUCUAAAACCCCAAGUAUUACCCUUUUGUUAAAGAAAAAAAAUAGUUUUAAAAAAUAAAAUAAUAAAAUAAUUUUCCUUGUAAAAACCCUUUGAAUUUCUUAUGAAACUCUAGGUUUUCCCUUUUAUCAAAAAAAUAAAAUUAAUUCUAAAAUAGAGAAGUGAAAAAGAUAAAUUAAUUUUUCUAGUAAAAAUUUUAAAAAAUUCCUAUAAAAGCCCAAGUAAUUCCCUAUAAAGCUCUAGGUUUUUCCCUUAUCUUCUACAGAGUAAAACUAAAAUUAUUUUUAAAAAGGAAACUAAAAAUAUAAAAUGAUUUUUCAAAUCCAAAUUUCUCCGAUAAAAUUUCAAGUUUUUCUUACAAAAAAAAACUAAAAGUAAUUAUUUUAAGAAAUUAAAAAAUAAAAUAAGUGAUUAAAAUAAAAAUUUACUAAAAUUAGGUGGUUAAAAUAAAUGUUUUUAAUAGAUAAUUAACCGCGAGCAAUUAAAAUGAUAAAAAAAUACAACUAUAAUAAUUAAAAUGAUAAAAAUAUAUAAUAACAGUACUUAAAUUUAAAAAAAAAAAAUUUAAUACCCAAAAUGAAAAAUUAUGAAAGCUAAGUGACCAAUAGUUUACGUUGUUAUUAUUAUUAUUAUUAUUUUUUUUUUUUUUUUUUUGUGGAUGUGAUUUCUUUGAAGUGAAGAAAAAUCGAAAAAAAAAAAGUACAUGAAGUUUUUUUUGGAAGUUUUCUAAAUUGCUUUAAAGACUUUUGCCUCUGGCCAUCCACGAGGUUUCCAUUUUUGCGACCAUCCAUUCUUUUUUUAAUUUGACAUAAUAAUUUAUUUUGCCCUCUCUAAUUUAAUAAAAUAAAAAAAUUAUUUUUUUAUUUUUUAGUUAAGUUUUUUUUUGACAAAUCACUUUAAUAUUAAUGAAAAAGUUAACAUUUUUUUAAAUUUUUUUGACAAAUGGAUUUCCACAUUCAGCAUUUAAUUAAUUUUUUAAAAUUUAAAAAAUAUAUAAAAAUUAUUUUUAAAAUUUAAAAAUUAUUAAAAUUAUUUAAAACUUAUAAAAUAAUAUUUUUAAUAUUUUUAAAAAUUAAUUAAAUGUUAUCGUGUCAUCUGUAUGGCAAUUCACGUAUACGUUACGUCAACAAAAUUAAGUAAAAAUAUAAGCCUGAAAAAUGAGUUUGGACAAAAAAAUAAGGCUUGUUUAGAAAAAUGGGCCGAGCUUUAGGUAAGCCUUUUUCGGCCUAGCCCGAAUAUGUAAAAAAAACCUGUAGUUUUUUUUUUGCUAUUUUCUUGUUGUUUUUUUAUUAUUUUAUUACCAUUUCACUAUUAUGUUGCUACUAUUUUAUUGUUAUUGUAUAACUCUUGUUUUAUCAUUAAUUUUAUUACUAUUUUAGAUGCAUUUGCUUGUUAAGUUGCACCAAUCCUAGUGUUAUUUAAGUAUAAUUAUUUUUUAAAAUUUAUUUUCAAUAUGUCAGGAAACAUUUAUUUUAAUGUCUUUAGUAUUUUUAUGUAUUAAAAUUUUAAAAAUAAUAUAAAAAAUUUAAUAUGGGUUUGGCCCAAGUUUUAAUAUUUUUAUUUAGGUCGGGCUUAGACAAAAUUUUAGAUCCAUUUUUCGGGUCGGACUCGAGCCUAACAAAUGGGCCUAAAAUUUUAAUUAGACCCGACCCGGCCCAUAAGCACCUCUAAAUGUACCUUCAUCACAAACCGACCGGUUAACUAACUCGAGUUACCAUUAACCGAAUUAACUGACCUUUUAAACCCUUAACCAUUAACUGAACAGAACGUUUUUCAAAAAAAUUUAACCUAACCGAACUUUUUCGAUUAAUUCGGUCGGUUAACCGAAUUAAUCGAAAUUUAUAUAUAUUUUUAUUUUUGGUUAAAACAAGUAUAAAACAUAUAAAAAUUUAACCGACCCAUUAAUUUAUAUUUUCAACAAAUUAACUGAACCGGCCGAAUACUUAUAUAUUAUAAUAUUAUUUAUUAAAUUUGAUUAAUUCGGUUAAUCGACCGAUUUCUUAAUUCGGUUAACUGACCGAUUUCGAAUCGAAUUAACCGUUAACCGAACUUCCAAAAAAUUAUUAACCGACCCCCGACCAAAUUAAUUCGGUUUUACCCAAAAUUUACACACACCUAAUCCUCCCUAUUUUUAUUAAACAUUUAUGCUCUCUUUUUUUUUUUUACAUAAAUCCACCAUAUUUAAACUAAACAUUUUACACUAAUUUUAAAAAAUAUAAUAACAAUUUAACCUUCAAAUUUUAUAUAUUUAAUUAAUUUGACUAUUUUUUAGCUAAAUUUGAUUAAUCACUUUUCAAAAAUAGUUAAAUCAUUUUUUUAUCAAAAAUACUGACUAAAACAUUAAAGAUGCUUGCGUGACAACUUGUGUGGUAAUCCAUGUGUACAUCCACACUAACACGACACUGUUUGUCUUAUAUAUUAAAUUAACAAAUAAUUUAAAAAUUAUUAAAACAUUAAAAAAAAGGUUAAAUAAAGUACACAUGAAUUCCAUGCAAACUACCAUGUUUAAAAUUUAAAGUUUUAGUGUGUAUUUUUGUUAGAAAAAAAAAAGAGCACUUUGACUCUUUUUAAAAAAUUAAUUGUCAAAUUCAACUUUGUUUUAAAAGAUUGAGGACUAAAUUUAACUAAAAAAAAGAAAUAAAUAUCAAAUUGACAAAACGUAAAUAUUAAUGAUUAAAUUUAUCAUUAUGCAUUUUAAAAACUAAUCUCUAGGUUGUUCAUCAUCAUACCUACAUAUAAAAGGAAGGUCGAGGUUGAUAAGUGUUCCACCUUUUUUUCUACUAUAAGAAUGGGCAAAUCUGGCCUUGGAUAUGUCUUUUAUGUCAAAAUUUGUGAUUUAAUCAUUAUACUUUAAUUUUUAAUAGAAUUUGAUUUUUAUAUUUUAUAAUAUUAUUAAUUAGUCAAAAUAGUUUAUAUUGUUGGUUGCUUUGUUUAAAAUUUUGACAUGGACUUUUAAAAAUAUGCUAUUCUAAUAAAAUUAUAUGUAAAAAAAAAAACCUGUAAAUUUUUUUGUUGUUUUUUACUUUCUUUCUUUUUUUGCUAUUUUCUUGUUGUUUUUUCAUGAUUUUACUACCAUUUCACUAUUAUGUUGCUACUAUUUUGUCAUUAUUGUAUAACUCUUGUUUUAUCAUUAAUUUUGUUACUAUUUUAGAUGCAUUUGCUUGUUAAGUUACACUUAUCUUAAUGUUAUUUAAGUAUAAUUAUUUUUUAAAAUUUAUUCUCAAUAUGCCAGGAAACAUUUAUUUUAAUAUCUUUAGAUUUUUGAUGUAUUAAUUUUUUUAAAUAAUAUAAAAAUUAAUAUGGGUUUGGCCCAGGUUUUAACAUUUUUAUUUAGGCAGAGCUUAGACAAAAUUUUAGGUUCAUUUUUCAGUUCAGACUCGGGCUUAACAAAUGGGCCUAAAAUUUUAAUUGGACCCAACUCGGCCCAUAAGCAUCUCUAAUCAUACCUUCAUCACAACAAAUCUAUCCUCCCUAGGGUUGUUCAAUUAGUUAACCAAACCGAAUUACAAUUAACCGAAUUAACCAACCCUUUUAAAUCAUUAACCGUUAAACAAACAAUUUAAAAAAAAAAUUAACCGAACCUAACUUUUUCGGUUAAUUCGGUCAGUUAACUAAAUUAACCGAAAUUUUUAUUUUUUUUAGUUAAAACAAGUAUAAAACAUAUAAAAAAUUAACCGACCGAUUAAUUUAUAUUUCCAAAAAAUUAACCGAAUAGACGGAAUACUUAUAUAUUAUAAUAUUAUUUAUUUAAUUCGAUUAAUUCAGUUAACCGACCGAUUUUGAACUAAAUUAACCGUUAACCAAACUUCCAAAAAAUUAUUAAUCGACCCCCGACCGAAUUAAUUUAGUUUUACCUGAAAUUUACACACCUCUAAUCCUCACUACUUUUAUUAAACAUUUAUGCUUUUUUCUUUUUUACAUAAAUCCACCAUAAUUAAAUUAAACAUUUUAAACUAAUUUUUGAAAAAUAUAAUAAUAAAUUUAACCCUCAAAAUUUAUAUAUUUAAUUAAUUUGACUAUUUUUUAGCUAAAUUUGAUUAUUCACUUUUUCAAACGAGUUAAAUCGUUUUCUUAAUAAAAAAUGCUGACUAAAACAUUAAAAAUAUUACGUGACAACUCGUGUGGCAAUUCACGUGUACGUCCACACUAACACGACACUGUUUGUCUUAUAUGUUAAACUAACAAAUAAUUUAAAAAAUAUUAAAAUAUUUAAAAAAAAUCAAAAAAAUUAAAUAAAGUACACGUGGAUUCCGUGCAAACUUUCAUGUUUAAAAUUUAAUGUUUAGUGUGUGUUUUUUAUUUUUAAAAAAACCACUUUGACUUUUUUUAAAAAGUCAAUGAUUAAAUUCAAUUUUCUUUUAAAAGGUUGAGGACUAAAUUUAACUAAAAAAAAUCAAAUUGACAAAACAUAACUAUUAAUGAUUAAAUUUAUCAUUAUGCAUUUUAAAAACUAAUCUUUAAGUCAUUCAUCGUCAUGCCUAUAUCUAAAAAGGAAGGUCAAGCUUGAUAAGUGUUCCACUUUUUUUUAUACUAUAAGAAUGGGCAAAUCUCGCAUUAGGUCUGUCUUUUUAUGUCAAAAUUUAUGAUUUAAUCCUUAUACUUUAUUUUCUAAUAAAAUUUGAUCUUUAUAUUUUAUAAUAUUAUUAAUUAGUUUAAAUAAUUUAUACUGUUAGAUGCUUUAUUUAAAACUUUGACAUGGACUUCUAAAAAUAUGCUAUUCUAACAAAAAAAAUCUAUUUUGAUUGGAAUGCAUUUUUUUAAAAUCCAAUUAGUUACUGAAAUUAUUAACUAUGUUAAUUAUUUGAACUAACUAAUAACACAAUUUUUUUCUCUUUUUAUUCAUUAUAAUUAAUUAACUUAAAUAAUUAUAUGAUUACCCAAAAUGAAGGUAAAAAAAAAAAAGCAGAUGGAGAGAUGAUAAUGGAUGGGAAAAGGAGCAAUUAUUGGUGGAGUUGGAGACAUGGGUGAUGGGGCAAUGAAGCAAAACCCACAAAACUAUAAACAAGUAGAUGUGACGUAGAUGUCUGACAUUGGCAUCGUCAGGCAAGGAAUGUGUGGUUGUUUUCUUUACGUAUAGCUAUGCCUAUGCCUAUGGCCCCCUCUCUAUGCACAUGUGAUUUUCAAGUACUCCCUUCCCAACAUCACCAUCACCAUCCCUUUCUCUUUUCCUUUUUAACCCUUUACUUCCCCUUCCCCUAUUAUAAGUCUUUUCUGCAAACUCAUCCUCUAUAGUUGUAUGCUUGUGCUCAUUAAAAAAAUAAAAAAUUGAAACCCACCAAUAAAUUUAAUCCAUGCUUUCUACAUAUUUUUAUUUUCAUGUUUACCCUUUUCCACUAUAUAACCCAAAAAAGUUUCAAUAUUUUUAUUUUUCCUUAACUAUGUAUUAAUUAAGCUUCAUGAUAUAAUAAAAUAAACUUGAUAUAAAAAUAAAAUAUAAACACGAUAAGAAUAAAUAAAUAGAUAAUUAUUUUUACUCAACAUUUUAAAAUUUUUAAACUCCACAAACAUGAAUGAAAUUAUGACAAGCAUCAUAUUUGUUUAUACGUUAAUUUUUUUUAUACCUCAUAAACACAUCAUAUAUGUCACACCUUGAAGUUCGUUUACGAAAUUUAAAAAUUCCCAAACUACAUAUAUAUAUGAUAAUUUUCUUAAAUAAAUAUGUUAAAAUAUACAAAUUUGUAUAAAAGAUGUAAAAUAUAUUGAAUGUCAUACGAUACAAAUAUACGAAUUUUCAAAUUUAAUUUUAACAUAUGAGUUCAUUUUCAAUAAAGAUGAUUCUCUUUUAACAAGAUGCGAGAGAUUUGUCUUAACAAUGUAAUAAUAAUAAGUUUACUUUUAAAGUGGCAUUAAUUGUUUUUUGAGAACAAAAUGUUUGCUGGAAUACCAAAAACUCCAGUAUAUGUUUAUCAUUAAUCAAAAGACAAUACACUAUGUAUACCCAUCCCUUUCUAACGUCUCACACACACCUUAUCUUUAAUUAGUGUGUUAUUCAAUAAUUUAUUUAUUUAUUAAUCAAAUUAAGGUUUUGUUUGAUUAAGUAUUACGUUUUCUAAUAUUAUUUAUUAUAAUAUUUUUUUAUAAAUUUUAAUUUUUUUAAAAAUAUUUUUUUAAAGGUAUCUCGACAUUUAUGUGUGUCGAGUUCAAAUGAUUGUUAAAUCAUCAUAUGAGCAUGUAUGUCAAAAUAAAAGUAUCUCAAAGUACAGUCAACAAUACUUCGACUACCAUGGGUGCCAAGUUUAGGGUGUGAACUUCGAUUAGAAAGUUUAUUUGCCCGUUGUCUUAAUUAUGGGAGUCAAGUUUUGUUCUAUAAAUACCAUACUCAUUUUUCUUUUCUUUCCGCCCAAAAUCCACCACCAAAAAAAAAAAAAAAACUUGUGUUUUUGCAUUUAUUAAGGUUUCAAGAUGAGCGCAUAGUAAUCAUGUCGUCAAUAUGUUGAAAUUUUCAAGUUAUUUUUUUUAAAUUUCGUUAAUUUUAUAGAAAUUUUAUGAUAUUACGAAAUUAAAUAAUUAUUUUUUUUUUGUGAUAUAUUGAACAACAAGAAGCUCGAAUUAUUCACAUUUGAUAUAAUAAUAAAAAAUUCUCGAAGAUCAUUGCAUGUACCAAAGAUUACCUGAAAAGUGUUGGUUUAUAUGUGAUAUCUAUGAUAAUAAAUUUUAGCAUGAUACUAGAGUUAGUUAUCGCCUUAUUGUAAAGAUGAAUUUCGAAAACACAUACAUUCCAUUUUCGACAAGGGAAAGUAACUAUAACACUAAAGGUUGUCACUUUAAUAAUCGAUCUUCCAGUCAACGAAAAUGUAGUAAUUAGCAUCAACAUGAAGAAUGAAUGCCAUCAGUUAUUGGGUGCCAUGUUGUUUAAGGAUAAGGAUGAUACAAAAUUAGAUGGGAAUUGGUUGAAAUGCAUGUGGUUAGAAAGACUUGUCAAACUUACCUAUAUUGUAGAGGAGAUGGACCAGUACACUAGAGUUAGGAUGCUUUUUACUGGGUGACCCAAGAACAAAUUGAUGGAUUCAACGGUUGUUGCCUACUACAAACAUGGGCAUCGAUACAAAUGGAGUGGUUAGCACCAUUGGUUCCCAACCAUGGGGUUUUCUUUUCAAUAGAAGGUGAAUAUCGUAUAUAAUAUUUUAAAAUAUAAUUAAAAAUAUUUAUAACCCAUAUUGCAUUGAAAUGUUUAAACAAAUUCAGAGGUUGAUUAGAUAGCACAUGUUAUAGAAGGGAUUAGACUUUGAUGCGACCAAAAAUAUAUCGGCAAUCUUAAUUCGGUUAGCAUCGACAUUGUUAUCUAUACAGAAGGACGAGAACAUGAGUUUGGGCGUGCUGAAGUAUAUUUAUUUUUCUAUUUAAGGAUUGGGAAGCGAUUAUGUAUAAUUUUUUUCUCUAUUUCUUUUAUAAAUAAUUUUAUAAAAGGUUAUAAUUAUAAAUUGUCAUUAUAAUUAAUCUUUUCCAAUCCAUUGUUUAUCCAAAUAAAUAAAAUUACUUAACUUUCAUUUCCUUGACUAAUAUUAAGUUUUCAAAUAAAAUAAUAAAAAAUUAUAUACUUUAUUAAACAUUUCCCUCUUUUAUUUUCUUCUACUUUCAUUUCUUUGCCACUUUCUAAUCCAAAGGAUUAGUGUAAUUUCAGCAAGGUUAAAUGAAUAUUGAUGACAGUAAAAAUAAAUUAAAAAUAGAAAAACUACAUGAUAAUGGCUUAAUUCCAUUUAUGGAAAGUAAAAGAGAAAAGUGUAGAAUGAAUAAAUUGAAAACAACCUCCAGCAAAGCAAAUUAUGAUCGACACUCACAAAUUAGGUAGUAACCAGUCACAUGCUCAAACCUACGGUACAUUCUCUUGUUGUGUCAAAUCAUAGGCUGAUUUUAGGGCGACAUUUGGAGUGCCCUCUUUUACUCUUUAAUUACUUAGGGUUCGCUAGGUCAAGUACUUGGACAACCAAAUUUAGUGUAUUGUUUAUGAGCUUAGAUUCUCUCAAUCUCUAAGCUCUUUAUCCUUACCCCAAUUAUAGAAAAAAACUCAUCAAUAUAAAUUCUUUGCCUUACCCCAGUUAUCCCAUAAGUUGAUCAAGGGCUCAAUUAACUAUGGAGCCUUUUAUGUAUACAGUUCAUUUAUUUUAUAUUUAUGUUUU
rnacentral:lncRNA from 1 species